rnacentral:lncRNA from 1 species
GGUGCUGAAAGCCUCGAGGCCCGUAACUACAGAAUAAGAGUCAGGUCGGUAAGCGCGUAGGGGGAUUCUGAUAUUGCUAGUAAAGUAUGAGAAGCACCAGUUGGUUUCUCAGUUAUUGAUUCAAGCAUUAGAAGCACUAGUCGCAUUCUUUUUAUAGUAGUGGAUUUCCUGGUUUCUUUCCCGGUUCGGCUAUUGCCAGUAGCUGUGUCAUUCCAAGUUUCCAGCUAUAUCCCUAUAGUUGCAGUUGCCUCAUCAGUAGUGUUUCUAUCCAUGUAGGGGCGUUUCGAUUCCCUGUUCCGAGUUAAGAUCUUAGAAGCGGUAACUCAAUUCUGGAUUCUAUUAAGUGAAAGCAUUAGAAGCGCUAGCUACAGUUUGAAAGUAAGCAUAGUCAGAAUCCACAGUUAGUAGAACAAAGAUAUGAAUCGGGAGUUAGAGAAUCCAAAGUCAAAUACAAAACUCAACCCAGCAGUAAGGGGAUGAAAACUAAGAUAGUGAGGGCGAUAGUAAGUAGAACAAGUCUGUUAGCCAUAGGUUGAUUCUCUCUUAUGAGAUUAUGGACGAGAACCUGGAGAGUAAGCCCGAGAAGCUGCAGUUCUAUUCUUAGAUGUAGUAAAGCAAGCAUUACUAGAUUAAGCGCGGCUGGUUAGUUGGAAUAGGAGUUUAGUGAAGGACAUCUUAGGUGCCAGUAUCGGCAGUGCAGAUGUUGAUUCCACGCUCACUUACUUUGUAUCCAGGUAGGGUGGUGGACUGACUUGGUGGUCCAACUGUUGUUGCAAGAGAAGUCGAAAGUCCAUUAUUGGCCCUGACCUAUAGGCCCUAUAGUUCAAGAGAAGAAGUAGCCCUUAUAGUCAGUUUCGGUUGAAGGUGCGAGUGUUGGUUCGUGGCUUUCCCUUUGCGUGGAGUACACGGUUGAAAGUUGGCUUGUUCCUGCGCUGGCUUAGUCUUAAGGAACGGUAUAAGAAGAUGAAUAAGCUGUUUGUAGUUCCUUGACUUCUAUCCCAUGUGUUCAAUAAGAUAAUAAAUGCUGUAUUUACUCCUCAAUGAGUAUCUGUCUGUUCUUGUUUCAAAUCCCUUGUUUUAUCGUAUCUAGUUGUUUGCUCCUUUAAGAAUGGAGUUGACUACUAGAAGCCGGGAAAAAAGCCGAAGAUAGCAAAUGAACUCUAAACUCGUUCCCCCAGUAGCUGCCUUCCGAUGGUAUCUUUUAAGGGCUCGUGUCUGGUCGGCUGUAUACUAGCUUCUCUGAGCAUGCGUGAAUCCCUGUCGGAAAGUAGAUUCCUCCGCAUGAAGGGAAAUCAAUUGCGUCUCGACUACCACCCUACCCGGGACUGUAAACUAUCCCAACAACCCAUAAUGACAUGACUGGAAUCUAAAGAAGUCGCUUGAACCCCUCGGUGCCGUAUUAUGAUGGAGAGCAUAAACCGUUGGGUCGCUGGAAGAGCAUUUGGAUUUGUCUAUGAAACUACAGCCUGGGUGGAAUGAUCCCCGCUUUCCUCGUUCAUAUGUGACCUCACCUCAUCUCCGUCGGUUGAAGACGAGGCAUCUUCUGACCCCACCCACUUAGCUCCCGGGGGGCAAACUGGAGGUUUGUGUUGGUAGUCUUCUAUCCCCUCUGGAAUGCUAAGUCUUGCUUCUAUCUUCGUCCAUUCUCCAGCGUAGUCUUUUGAACACCUCCUAAAGCUGCUUCUUGAAUACCGCUUUCUCUUUAUCCCAUUCCCACUUUCUCUGGUUGACAAAACCACUUUGCGCAGAUCACUCCUACACGAGUAUUAUACUAGCCUUAUAAAUAGCCUUACCAGCAACGGGGCUUGCUAAAGGGCUGUGAACGUUAACCAUUUGAAGUCGUAAGGCAGGCUACUUACUAAGGCAUUUCAUCAGGUCUGGAAGAAGUGGAAAGAGAAAAGGCAUUCGAGCAAAAGCGACUUAUUCUUGAAAAAUGUUUCUAUGGGGGUUAUAAGGAACUUGAAAAAGGCAUGGAAAGAAGUCUGCCCCUCCUUUUUCUAGUGAAUGUCGGAAAUCUUAUUAGAGAUUGAGAUUCUUUCUUGUCUGAGACUGUAGCCAGCUUAUAAGGAGAGUGAUGCACUAUUCGCUAAUUAGGAAAGAGGGUUGACUCUUGCUUGUCGAUCUCUAUUCCUCCUAUUGUAUAUUAAGGUCGAUCUCUAUUCCUCCUAUUGUAUAUUAAGUAUGUAACUUGCUUUCACUAGUAGCUGCUAUUCUCCUCACUGCAGAUAAGGCCAAAACUGCCUAAUACUAUGUCCUGUCCCCUGCUCUUAGAUUCACAAUGGAAUUGAAGAUAGCGCUAUCACAUCACAUAUAGAAAUUGUAGUAAAAACACAGAGCUCUAUAGUGUGGUUACAAAUUCUAUAUAUAAGAAUAUAUGUAUACUUAUUCCGGAACCUUCUAAGAAUAUAUGUAUACUUAUUCCGGAACCUUAUAUUGAUUAAGGCUUGGAAUCUCCCAAUCACCGGAUCGGAUCAGCAGUGAAAUGUAUUAUUAUAUAUCUGAUAGCUUAUUAAGUGGGUGGGCACUCCCAUAAAGUCUGUCUACAAAGCCCUUGACUUUCGCCUAAGGCAUCAGAUCCUAAGGUUUGAUAUGAAAUGGCUCUAUAUCCAGCCACUUCUUCGUCAUCAGCAAAGAGAAGUUACUAGCGGGUCGUCGAUAAGGAACUUUCCCCUUAUUUGGUUGGGGGCAAAGAAGAGCUUAAGACACCCUUUGUUUGCUUGGCGGUAAACUGAACUUUGCUAAUCGGGGCUUAUGAAAGACAUAGAAAACACAUUCAGACUGCACUUGAAAAGAGGAGUGGAAUAUAGAAAGAGCACACGCAACGCAACGGAGCCCUUCUUUAAACACCAACACCAGUAGGCUCAAGCGCUAUAGAGAAAUAUCUGAAUUCAUUAUAUGAUGGCAAAGAAUGUAGGUUUGGGGGUAAGUUAAGUCUAUGGAAACCGUAUCGAAAGCGAGAUCAGACUGACCUUUAUUGCUGGAAUGAUUCAAUAGUAGCAAAAUGCAUGUAGCCCGGGCCAAAAAGCUUGUUUCCUCUAGAGAGUUUCUCUUCGGCCUUGCCCUCCGCUUCUUCGAACCCGCAAUAUAGCAGCAAGCAAUCCCGCUUCAAAAAGAGAAUAGGGAAUCCCGCUUCAAAAAGAGAAUAGGGAUAGGGUAAGUGAUACCGAAAAAGACAUCAUCAUAGGUUGGGGUAAAGAAAUGAGAUUAUUGCAAUGCCAAGGCAAGAGUGAAUAUGACUUAUUGCAAUGCCAAGGCAAGAGUAGAUAUUAACUUAUUGUCGGGGCCAUCACCUCUGUUACAAGGCAAGAGUAGAUAUUAACUUAUUGUCGGGGCUAUCACCUCUGUGAGAAUAUAUGGAGAUCAUUUAAGUGAUCAAAGCGAAAAAGGAAUUUGGACUUGCAUUGCAGGCUUCUACGAUGGGCGGGAAUCAUAAGAAAGAAAGCCCUAUGAUGUGAAAGCUCCCCGCCCUUACGCCUCACCCUUCUACUCUUGGUUGACGAUCCGGUCCAAGAUUUCCUCAGUUCGGAUUUCUCUACGAAAACUAUCUAGGGAAGAUGAAAACCCAGUUGCUCAAGCACCGCAAAGGUAAUCCUCAUUAUGUUUGUUUGAACGUUCUUCUCCUGUUAUUUAUUAUGAUUAUAGAUAGCAUAUAAAGAAUAUGAUUAUAGAUAGCAUAUAAAGAAAGCAUUUAGUAUAUCUCUUAAUAACUCUCAAACUAUAGCAUAUAAAGAAAGCAUUGAGUAUAUCUAUCUCUUAAUAACUCUCAAACUCAUUCGUGUACAAAGCAGUGCAGACGAAGUCCAAAUCCAUUGCUUGGAAUUACAUCAUCUUUUCGUCUAAGGUCGGAUCGGAUGUAGGCGAAUCCAACCAAGCUAAGUUACAGCCACAUAUAAGAAACCUUGCAUCUAAUCUGAAUCAAUCGUUUGCCUUUGAAUGAGCUCAGUAAAAAGAUAGAGAAUAAGCUCAUUUAACUUCACUAAUGUUUACUGUGACCCCACUUCUCUAGCUGUUGUAAAAACACUAUGUUGGGAAUACUGGCCUCUGGUAAGAUAACAACUAUGAUGCUAUACCCUUUCGAAAACAACUAUGAUGCUAUACCCUUUCAAAAACAGAGUCUCUCCCAUAACUAUCCAAAAGUGGUUCUCUUUCCGAUUACUAUUCUGGGAAAAUCCAAAUAGACCUUGAGUAUUGCGCUUUCAAAAGAGAAAGGUACGGGACCCUCAUGGCACUGAUCGGCCUUGAACGGAAGCUACUUUGUUGGAGAGGGUGUGGAUGCUAAUUCCAAUGUUGGCUAAUGAAAAGGUCUUUCGUCAGUCAGCUAUCUUACCUUCAAUCUGACCUUAAAGUAAACCACCAGUUGUAAGCCGGGUUAGUGAAGCUCUUGACUGUCUUAUCCCUGGUUAGUUAAGCUCGGUUAGUUAAGCUCUUGACUGUCUUAUCCCUGUUCUCACUCAAUCCGGGUUAGUUAAGCUCUCUCUUGCCAGAAGGUGGAAGCAAGGGCGAUUACCCUACCCUUGGGAAGUAACGAUAAUGGUUUCUCCACGGAAUAUGGUGGGAUAUUUGAUUCUAUGUUUGAGUUUUGGGAUGGACUUGGAAUCCACUACUGGCUCAUAGGAUGCUUACUCGGAUUCUGUAACUGGCAAUUCGCAUUCUUCUUAUUAUCUCUAAUACUUGCACUUUGCCCUGGCUUUAGACCCUGACUUUCUUCUUUAGAGUGUAGUGGCUUGGGCAGUUUACGUAGGCAGUUGAGAUGAGCAUUCAAACAUCAAUUCCUUAACAGCUUCCUUUCGAACAGCUUCGCUUCCUCUGUGUCUUCUUCUCCCGCUUCAGAUCCGGAUUUCACCCUCUGAAUGAGAUUUGAGAUUCGAUGAGGCUUCUUAAUAAGAUGAAACAAGCAAUAGGCGAACUUAACUCCACUUUGGGACAGAUACGCUUGCGCCAACACACACCUCUGAUUCUUUAAUGACUAAUUGUUCUAUACAAUCAAGACCCCCGGAUUUCUCUUAUUCUUAUUCAUGGAGCUUCUUUUCUAAGGUUACCUUGAGACUUUCUUUACCGACGGAGAUGAGCAUUCAAAACGAAACUAUUUCCAUAGGAUCAAAGUCGAACAGGCAAUUCUCGGCAUAACACCCAUGUGAGACAGAGCUAAUGUAACUGAAUGAAUACUUUGCCUCUGGCCUGCUAGUCUAGGGAACAUGUGGAGGCAGCCCCCUCUACUGUUUAGUGAGUUUUCUUUUGGGUGUUUUGUUACAGUUGUCCAUUAUAUGUUAGCUCCAUUCCAUUUCUGAAGCGCGUUAGUCAGUUGUUAGGAUAGGGCCUACCAAAUCUUCUUUUGACUUUCCGGGGUAGGUGCCCAUCCGCUUUUCCACUCCAUGCUUUUUGGCCUUCAUUCUAUUCUUUCGAGUGAAGUUAGCCGUUGCACAAGAACAAGCAGUAACUGGUUGGUGGGUUUGGGGAGUUGGGGAUAGCGGUGGCCUAGCUGAUAGAUUCAAGUAAAGAGUCAGGAGUUACUAGUGCGAGGUUACUACUCCUUGGGUCUGAGUCCGGAGUGACUAGUGCUUAGAGGUUAGCACGGAGUGGGUCUAUAAUGUGUCAGUGAGAUUCAUUUCUUUGAAAAGCAAGUUACCAAGUUCCAGCAACAGGCCAAGCGUAUACCUUAUUUCAUGCAAGUUUAGUAUCAAAUAGGGAAUUAGGGAAUCCGAGGUUAGAAGCAGUUCCCAAAGGAAGGGGAAGCAGUCUCUUUACUCAGUGCUAUACCUAGUGAAAAAUCAGAUACUAUUUCUAUCCCUAGUGCUCAAUAAGUGGAAAAAGGUAGAGUUGCCUGUUUAGGUUCCAGUUUCUCAAGAGAAGCAAGCGGUAUCUAAGUCUGGUGGGUGUCCAAGCCUAACUGCCGCUUAGCUCGCUGCCGCCAUGAAUAAAGAGUGAUAACUCGUUAUGACCAAGUCCUGUCCUGUACGGGCUCUGCUCUAUCAGCUGACUCUAAAUCAUAUGUACUACUUCCUGCUUACUUUAAUGCUCUAUCCGCUCUGACUCAAAAAGCAACAGAAUAAGAAGCAACCGGUGCCUCACGCUACUAACUUCUUGUUUCGGGGUUAGGUGGAGCUAGAUCUGGAUCAGAGGCUUGAUCUGUGCCAACUCAAUCGGAUAGUGGAACAAAAACGAUUCUAUCUGUCUGUACCAACUCCAUAAGAGAAAUUCCAUACUGAAGUUUGAGGGUGGUAGGACUUUCCCUUUGCUUUGCAUGCUUGGCGGAACCUUGUAGUGGUCGACCCCUGCUCUAGCUGGUAACUCCACUGAUUCUAGUCGGUGCUGUAGCUACUUGUCGGCGAGUGACAGUUCCUGUUCGAGUUUCAUCAUAUAUAGAUAGAAUAAGAUAAUAUGCUGUGCGGUACCCAUAUAGGUAUAAUAAGAUAAUAUGCUGUGCGGUACCCAGGCGUUGAACCGCUCCUGCCGCGCAAGCGAACAGAGAAUAGUUUUGGUUCAUCUUAAGUCGCUAAUGGAAUGGGAACCGCUCCUUACGCGCAUUCGUGCUGUUGUUCCAAAGGUGGUAUUUUUUUUCACUAAGUCAGGAAAGAAUAAGGUCCGGAAUGAAUGAAGAAGGGAGUUGGUUACAUCAUUCUUUGUCAAUGCUACUCCUUUGUGCGGGGUAGAAGGACUAAUGGAAUUAUCCUAAGGAGAUAGAUUCUUUCUAAGCCUAUCUAUAAGAGGAUGAUAGAAGGCAUAAUUCCGGGGUUUCUAAGAAGGAAGUGGGCUCCAUCCCCCUAUUAUUACCUGAUAGCUCCAUCCUCUUCUUAUGUUUAUUACUUUAACACAAACAAGGGAUUACUGAAACUAUAGCACCGAACCUAGUAGCACCCAAAGCAAAGAGACGAGACUUGAAGUUCAAAACAAACCGCUUGCACCUGCUCUUAACCGGCCAGUACUGGAUUAUUACCUUCGCCCUGCCAGGCAAUUCUUCACUACUCUAAGAUUUCCCGAAACUACUUGUUCUUUCGCCCUGUCCUUGCUUUUCAUUCGCAACUGUAGUUGCUCAUCCCGUUGCUUGGCCCCUUUGCUUCAACUCCCCUUGAGUACCUAAUUGUGGAUUCUCUUGGCAAACUAUACUUUCCUUCCUCUUAUACUUAUUAUUCUGUUACCAAUGACCCAGUACAGGAUUCUUUUAUUCCCGCUUGGCACAAGCUACUACUCAUUCUGUUUUCGGGAGCUCCAGUAGGGAGUUAGUAUGAGUCAUUAAAGUCACAGUUUUAGGGGUCAGCUACUUAUCCCUUCCUUUGGUGACUUUGAUUCUCUAAAUGCUAAGUUAACCUACAUUCCAUUCCACAAGUCCAGUUUUUGGCUACCCCAUAUCUAUUCUCUUAGCGUCUAGACUGCUGACUUUAGACCGAGAUACUUGACUGCUCCUGCUUAUGCUUGAAAGCCUAUAUCCCUUUUUUCCUUUAGCGUGUAAGACCCAUGUUCCUAGUAGCCCCCUAAAACAUAAUGGUCGGUAAGUGAACUCUAUUCUUAAAAGAGAACUAGGUUUGUUAGGUACCCAUAUCUAUGAAAAUAAGGUUGGUCAGGUACCAAUAUCUCUAUGAAAAGAAUAUAUAAGUGUAUAAUAUGCCCUGCUUCUAUAUGAUCUCGUUUAACAAUUCGAUUCUUCUCCUUUAUUCAUCAUGGUUUUGAUGCCCCCUAAGUGGUCCAACCCCAAGCAUGAAAGGUUUACUCGGCAUCAGGAAAGAUAGUUUCAAGUAAGAUAGGUGAAGAAAGUGAUAUUUCAGUAGAAUUUGACUGAGACACAUAUAGACCCAAAGAGCGGUAACCAAAGAGAUAGGUUGGAUUCGAGAUGAUCUUCUUUCUUCUUUAUACGAUGACUUUUCGCACGGCAUCUGAAACUAUAACUGGAACUCUACUUUAUACAGCUAAUUCACCUUAUUCCUCUUCUCCUGAUCCUUCUGAUUUACAAUAUUCUAGUGGAUACUCAACGGAAGAAGAAACUAGCACAGCGUAGCCAAUCACUUCUAUUGGAGACUUUGCGCGCGCACACCUAAUAGCUACUGUUUCCUGCUCUGUGGUGUGGGCAUGAGAUUAGCAUUCGGCUUCUGUAAACUCGGAUGAAACUCAAACCGUAUCAGCUUCAUCAGAAGUGCUAGAUGAUGACCUUCCUUAACCUAGCUUUCCAGUCAAUACUAACCGAUACCCCUCUGCCUGGCUGUGGAAUGAAGUUCAAUCAAAAGAGAAACACAGGAGCCUAAGUAGGCCUAAUUCUGGUAUCAAAUCAAUUGAAUUAGAUGAACUCUAGUUCUUAAAGAAGCAAGUCAAGUUAUCGGUGAAGAAAUAUAAGUGAUAGUGGAAUCUGUAUUAGUUGACUACCCGGUAUUGUAUUAUUAGUAUGAGUAAAGAGGAAAGAAGUUUCAGAGUGCUAGGUGUGUUGGCUACUAGUUUCAUCCCGUAGAGUUAAUGGGUUUACUAAUGAAAUGGAAUCUAAAGCAGAAGCAUCAGAUCUUCUCUCCAACUCUGGAAGUAAGGUUUCAUCUAAUACAAAGAAUAAGGUGCUGAAAGCCUACAAAUACUUACUGAAACUAGCCAAGCUACUAUUGAGGAAGGAAAGAAAGCCAGUUAGUGCAGAGGCUACAAUUGACAAGCUUAAGGAGUAAUGUUGCCCGGAAAGCAGGAUUCCAGUCUCGUUGACUCGGCAGGGAGGAAAGUGAAAGUUCUCUUAGUGCUACAGAAUUGACUACCUCCCGGAAAGCUUAUCUCAAGGCGACAUCCCGGCCAAGCAGACAGCCAGCCAAGAUCCUUCAAUACCAGAUGCGUAAGAUUUGUGAUAUGCGUAAGAUGGGUGAUACGGGUGGUUCCUCUCCUUCAAUGCUUCAAUGAAUAGAUAUAACGGCCAAGCUUAGGAUAGACAAGACACGCAGACAAGUAACUACUCCAUUCCCUCACUGCGGUUGUUACUUUAGCGUAACAUUAUAAGUGUCUUGGCGGGGAUUCAACCAGAACGGGAUCAGGAGCAGUACUAAAGGGAUGGGAUUCCACUCGCCCAGCAGAGCCAGCAGGGUUCAAUGAAUUGUAAACAUUGACUAAGAGAGCUUAGUUACUUAUGGUAAAAGGAAUGAGACCUUCUAAGCCCCAUAACUGCCACUACUGCUAUACCCAAACCAUACCCGAAACUAAGCUUUGGCACUAAGAAUAAGGGAACGAAUAAAGGAACUCUGCCUCUUGCUCUACAACAGUUGUUACCGAGUCCUUUGUUUGGGUUAGUGACUUAUUAACAGCAGUGAAAUCUCAAUAGGGAACUUCACCUUACCCAGUAGCAGUGAAAUCUCCAGCUCGGAAAGCACUCUCCAUUAAGUGGUAAAGAGAAAGGGUUGAUACAAUGCAAUCGGUAACUAUUUCUUUGAUACCUGAAUUCGGCUACUAUACUCUGGUUCCUUGAUACUCUCUCUGCUCUAGCUGUUAGUAACGAGUCCUGUGUGAGCCUGUCCGGUAAGAACUAGUUCGGUUUACAAGGGUUUCGUCAAAGUGGUAUUUACUACUUGUUUAUAGACUUACCCAUCACCUGCAGGCUCUGGCUCUGUGAACUCGGUGGGCAAGGGGCCAAGCAACUUCUAAUGACCAAGCAACGGCGAAAGACGUUGGGCGGUAGCCAAUAAACAGUUCUUACGAAGUUAUUACAAUAUAUGCCUUCGGCGGCAGGAGCCCCGGUAAUAUUAGUGGAAUUCUGGGACGAGUGAGAAGAAGACCGCUACUUAGCUACCCGGCUGCAUUCUGGUUAGCACUAGUUUCAGUAUGUGGCUAGUUAGUGUCAUUCUUAUCUACUACCCUGGAUGCUCUGAUCCACUACCCUAGAUGCUUGGCCCUUUGACAAUAGGUGGUUUAAUAACAUUCUUAUGGAUUAACUCGUUGAUGAAUGGAGGGCCCACUUUACGACGAGAAAGAAUUUGUACUCUAUAAAGCGAUAUUGAGCUGUAGUUAUCAAGUGGUCGUGUACUGUGUCUAUAGGAGAAUCUUUUAUCAACAUUUCUUUGACUACACUCAUUGCGGGCAUCCCUAUAACAUUUCUUUGCCUACACUCAUUGCGGGCAUCCCUCUCGGUCGAUAUUUCAGUAUUCCUAUAUACCCUACAAAAGAUGAAGUCUAUCAUAAACCCGGACUCCAUUAUCAUCUCGUCCUGUACCGUGGUCAAGUUAGGGACUCUCUCGAAAACUGGGUGAUCCCUAGCUGAUGCGAUCCAGCCGAGAUGGCGGAUCAACCGGAUCUUUCAUUCCAUGCCUUAUCUUUCGUUUUACAGAACUUCUAGCACUCGAAGCAUUCUCCUUAUGAUGAGAGAGAUGGUCUUGUUAGAAGGCGAGUAGUCCCUCUUGGAUCUUCUUCCUGCCAUUAGCUAAGAGACAGCUGGAUCGGACCUCUAUCUCGGACUUCCUGAAUUCAUGCUGGUUACAAAGAGAAAUCCACUCGCGGAAUCAGGACCUUGGCCAAAGAUGGAGUAAUAGGUUUCCGGGUAUGUGAGAACUUGUCGUCUUUGUCAGCAGGACCGUCGUGGAGCGGGUUGGAGCCAUUGCCUAUACAACAUCAAAAAGCUUCCAUCGCCCCGGAGAGACUUAGCUUAAUCUGGACGUCUUCCCAUUUCCAUUAAUUCCUUGACUUGUAACGAUAGUUCCUUUAAGACCAGUAUAGGGCUUUCAGGCGCCUGAUCUUAAUGAUAGGUGCGGUGCCGAGUGAAAGGCAAAAGUCAAGAUUACGUGCACCCAUGUCAAAGGUAACCGAGUCAUCGGAAAGGAAAAGGGAAUAGGUGGUUUUGCGCAUCCAAGGAUAAGGGUUUUGUUGCUUAAUAGCGGAUUCGUAGGUUACUAAAAAGAAAGUGGGAUUGGAAAUGGAACUCUCGACCUGACCUGGGGCGGAUAGGAAUUUCGACUUUCAAUGGAAUCAUUGGCUGGAUCGAGAUUAGAGCCCUUUCAUGAGUUUGAGCCCAGAGAGAUACCAAACUAACUGGACCUACUCCAUACACUUUUGGAAAAGUAGGAGCUUGUUAGUUAGUAUUUAUAGUAUGCUGUGGUUAGUGACUUAAUUGUAUCAUAUGCAACCUAAGCUAACGCUGACUUUUCUGUUGUUGCACUGGGCAAUAAUAAAGUAAAGGUGCUUGGCUUUCCCUUCCUUGACCUGACCGCAGGGUUUUUACUGAAUUCUAUUAGAUGAGCGCUCUCUUCAACAAGCAAGGGAACAAGUGAGUUUGUCGGCGCAAGAACAAGUGUAUGAGUGACAGAAGCCCUUUAACGAGGUGAGUUAACCGGCGCAAGAACAAGUGUAUGAGUGACAGAAGCCUUUUCUCGAGUGCUUUUCGACCUUGUAGUUUCAGAGUAGAGUUCCAGAAGUGCUUGUGUGCCAACCGUCCUUUGAAAUGAGUAAACGUUCUUUCUUCAUUGUCAAUAGUGCCCUUUCAGAUGUGUGGUGGGAGACCCGAUCUUAGAUCCUAAAUGGAGUCUCGUUGCAGGAAUGGGAUAAAUAAAGAAAUACUAUUACUGAUUUCAAUGAGAGUGGGAAGGAAGAGAGCAAGGAAGAGGCAUUCUGUUCUAUACUUUAGAGUGAGAAUCCUGGAGAAGAAGAGAAAAUCAUAUAAUCGAUUCUAUAUCCUCCAUAAAAGAAGGAGCUGUUAGUUAACUUAUGUAUGACUGACUUUAUCCAUUUUCAUGUAAUUCUCCAAUCUAUUUCUCUUACCAGCAAGCGGGAACGAAAGAAUAAGCAAUUGGGGGGCAGUAUGGAACUUGAUUCAAUAAUAAGAUAUAAGGCCCAAUGAAACAAACUAACUAACUAUGUUUUGAUUCGGAGGAUUGGGAAGUCAAUAAGAUAAAGUAUAGUAAGGCUUAUGAAUUACAGUACUUGGUGCAGGGAUAUAAUACCCCGUAUAUCAUGAGGCAAGAGAGAUAGAACUUUCUCAUUGCCGAGAGGUUUACUUCAGACUUCGAAGCCUCUAUUUCGGGUGCUUGCUUGAAACCCGGCCCGGCCCUGACUCUUUUUGUUUCCUAUCAAGAACCACUUCCCUUAGGCAACUCCAUUUACUGACUUACUAUUUCUCUAUCUCCAUAUGCCUCUGUCUAUCUUCCGACUAUUUCUCUAUCUCCAUAUGCCUCUGUCUAUCUUCCCCUUUUCCACGGGCUGGCUAAUCGAGUGAGUGCUUUUUGUGCAGAAAGAGUUAGGUAAGAAGGAAAGUUCUCAGAUACAGCAAUGCUUCUCUCUGGGAAAAAAACACUUGAUGAGGCUUCCUUACCAGAAGAGAAAGAGAAAGGAGAUGGACUGAUUCUAUGGUAGUGUUUAUUGCUUUCAACCUCCUCAAUUUCCUUCUCUCGUAUGCCAUCUGAGGACCUUGAUCCCCACUAUAGUAGCCCGAGUAAGAAAGUCCAAAUAUUCAAAUAAUGGAAAAACGCGAAGUUGACAGUUCUCUUUUUGCUAGAUUGACCUGACUUCAUUCGUGAAAAUCCGAACCUAUUGUAUUCCUGGCUGGAUCAGACCUCUAUGGGCCGAGCUCGUUCUUUCAUUUUAGGGAUUUUCUUAAAGGAAAGAGAAUUCUCUGGAUUGGAAAGUGCCCCCAGGUACGUAGACCUCGAUCCAAGCCCUUUUGUUACGUUAAUGGGAUAUCUGCUUUGGCAUUUCCCAAGUUCCGUUCUUCUAAAGCUUUGAUUCUUGAAACCUUAUUUCUUUGAUUUCCUUUGGAGCGGUAGAGAAAAAGAAGUAGACUCUCGUUAACUAAUUCGAAAAAGCAUGCUUAGAAACGUCUCUCUUUUGGAGGGUUGGAAGAAUCUAAUAUGAACAUGGAUUUCUAGUCCUUAAGUGUUGUAUAUUUUAUGGUUCUUUUUAUAUGAAAGCGGAUUGGAGACUUGACCGCGUUAAGCUAGCCCUCCGAACCGCUCUCGCUCGAUCAUUUGAAUAGGGGAAGUCAUCAGCUAAAAAAACUCCUGCAAGCCGCCCACUAAGUAAGAGCUCUGGCAAAUCAUUGAAUAGGAGUGUUGGAAAGCACUCAACUCAAACCUGCGCAGGAACAAGUAUAGUUGAGAGAGGUCGGGCCGGGUGUUAGUGUUUAAGUAGAGUUAUUGUGCGAAGAAAAUCCAGUAUAGGGUCGAAUGGCCUGAGUGUCCCGCUGCUUAGCCUUGUGAAACUGAUUGUACUGCUGGAGCAAUUGUGAAACUGAUUGUACUGCUGGAGCAAGUAGGUUCGAUAGGUGGGGUAUAUUUCCGAGUGGAGAUAGGUUGGGGAAGAAGAAAGUGUAUAUCCUAUAGAAGCAGGACUAUAAGCAAGAUCCGAAAGAGUUCAUUCCGUUUCUGUCGAGGUCCAGUCUCAAGUCGAGUCACAGUUCAAGUCAGAGUGAAGUCGACAACUUAAGAAGCAGUUUCAAGAGACGGAUCAGGCUCAGAACGGAAAGUCGAAGGUUGAGACAGAAUCUAAUCUAAAGUAAGCUGUUAUAGCAGUUGAAACAGAGGAAGCAGUGGUCUUUACCCGCAAUUAAUAAGUUAGCAAGUCCUUUUGAUUAGGCUAAGGCGUCAGUUAAUGAUUUUCCUGGUUGGUUGACCCGGGUUGGUUGGUUUACCCGGCACUUUUCAUCGUAUUUAGAAAGAAGCUCUGCUGAGGUGCUCUAGCUCUAAGUCUACGAGAUAAGAAACAAGUUGGUAUAGAACCAGAAUAAGGAACAGUGGAAUAAGUAUCUUCAGCAAUAGAUGGGGCAAGUCUUGUUGAGGUCGAGGUGAAAGUCAGAGUAUAAAGUAGGCGGGAAGUUGUUAAUUGUUCAAGAAAACAGUAGAUGUAGGAUUCCUUAUAAGGCCUUGAUCCAGGUCUGAUAGCUAGAAGAUGGAUAACCACCGAUUUGAUAAGAAAGUAACAACACAGCGAUACUUACAUGUUGAUGGAAGAAAGUAACCGAACAGCGAUACUUACAUGUUGAACAAAUUGCUUCUCAACUCACUACUGACUUAUGGAACUUGAAUGAAUUGGGGCUGACUGACCUUUUAGGUAUCGAAUUAUUGCGCAUGUCGUUUGUUGCUAGCGUUACUAAUGAUGUUUCUAUAGCUUAUUUCCUAGUAGCUCUGUUAGCGAGUUUGGCACUGCUUACAAUUAUUCCGCUUCCUAUGUGGGUGGUUCAUUGAUGUGUUGAAGCAGCGCUAUAGGAUGCUUGAGUUUGCUAGCUAACGGGUUAACCCAAUUUCCAUGAAGGCACUUUCUUUGGUCGAGAGAGAUCAACUCUACUGUCUUUUGAUUCUCGUUAUGUAAGCCUUAACCACGCAGUCUAUAGAUAGAGUUGGGACAGGCAAUACUUAACUACACUUUCCUUUCGAACUGCAAUGGAAUCUUUGGACCACCAAUAAUAGAGUAAUUAAUAACACUGUUUCUUUUCUUAUAAGCUAGUCCUCUUAUUCUCUUGCCGACCUUACCUCUACAUGAAGUUCAUAAUUGGAUUUGAUCUCUCUUGUACAUGGUAUAGCAUUUGAGUGUAAAGAUACGGAACUUGUCCUUGUUUGUUGCGCUAACGGAGCUGACGGUUAUGCAUUAGCUUACUUUCCAGGGUGUCAAUAUUCAUGAGAUAGUUUUUGAGUGUUGUAGAGUUUCGCAGUGUGGUUAGAUAGAGCAUGAGCUGGAUCUGAAUUAGGAUAUUAAGCAUAAGAGGGAGCAGGAGUAGUGUGCGAAUCCCUUAAUGGAUAAAGUAAUGCAAUCAAACAAACAUGUGAACAAAACUCACUAGCAAACUCGGUAAUGUAAGCUUAUUCUCGGGAUGCGUUAGUGAGCUCGGGCUCGGGGCUAAUACUUAGCUUCUUUUCCGGAACUUGACUUUCCGUGGGCAGCGGAUUCUCGAGUGGACUUGAAUUGAUUUGCUGCUGACUUUAUACUCUUACUUUUCACUACUUAUGCUGACUUACUUUAUGCUGCUGAUUAAGAUUAUGCUGAUUACUCUUAUUCUCUAAUUACAAUAAUCAUAUUAUAUACGAUCGAUUGCCCUUACUUAUUAAGGCUUGCCCGAACUACACUACAUUGCCAACACAACACCGAUUUGCUUCCCGUAUCAAGCAUCUGAUAUUCUCAUUUCGGAAUGGAAUGAAAGCUUACGGAGUUUUGCUUCAUCUAGCGUUAGGCGAGUUCCAGUUAUUUGUUCGAGUCGAUACUCUUACUCUAGAUGAGGUCAAUUCGAAUCCUCGGACACUACAUCACGGGCUCUUUACAGAAAGAGUGGCCCAUAGCAAUAGCUUUUAGGGAUUCUCGAUCCUCUAAAGUCCGCCUUUUUCGAGAUGUACGGAAAAGGAUCCCCUGGCUUUCUUAAUAGCUUCUUAUUAACUUGCCCUAGUUUCAAUACUCCUUUACUAGUUUCGACUGGCUUUCCUUUCUCAAGUCCCCACGGCAAAUAAUACAACGUUAUCGAAAGCUUCAUUUUCCAGGAAAGGAUGGCUUCAUUUAGGUGUUAAUCUAACUCAGCUCAAUCUAUUCGCUCACUUAGGAAUAAAUGACUUUAACUCGAUGUAUUUCCCUUGCUUGCUUUACGAAACUAGAUUUCACGGAACUAGCAAGAGUGCGAGUAUAAGAGGCCCUUUCAAUAAACCCUUUCAGUAUUACCUACUCUCGAUAGAAACUCUUUUCUCGCCUACCCUUCGCCACGUCAACAGGAUCACUGGGUACUCCAACAAAGGCUGGCAAGCACUUUCACAAUGGAUAUGAUUAUUUUGGCACAAAGCUUAUUAGAGUAUUCUUCCAAAGCAUGUUCUAUAAAGCAUGUUCCUUCUAUAAAGCAUGGAUAGCCGGAAACUAGCAAUAUUACAAGAGAGAAAAGCCACUCUAUCUGAAUCGAAGGUGCUUGCAACUUCACUUACGAGGGACAAACAAACUUGAUGGUAUCUUGUGUCAAUGGUAGCUGGAUGGCCCAGUUAAAGCUCUCCGCAAUCAGAAUAUCCGGCAUUCUUUCUAUCAGCCUCCGAUAAUGGGCAUUGAGCUUGAGAAAAUGUGGAUAACCUGCCUAUAAAGAAAGGUGCUGCAAGCCUUAGAAACGAAAGAAAUUGAUACCAUCGAUAUAGUCUUCGAUUCAACUCGAAAGAAAGUCGAACCUAGAAAAACGAGAGAGAUAUUUGCUAAUCAGGCUCCCCUCCAGGGGUCUCGGGAUAGCAUAGCAAGUGAAAAAGCUGGGAAAAAGCCCAUUUUGGAUGAGGACGUGUGUGGUCGCUGAAAGCCACUACUAUUCCUGAAGUAACGGAGUUCUGAGAACAAGAGGGAUGUGGUGACUAGCCAAGUGGAAUAUGUCAGGCACUCUCCCAGUUAAUUGAUUAGAGCAGGUUGGAAAAGCGUUACUUAAUUGUUUGAAAACUAGAUACAUUCUAGGCUCUUACGUGAAGAUCACUUACCAGCUCUCUAUUGACUUGACUCUAAUAGCCAUAACUAUUCUAGCCUUACUGGCGGAGUUAGGUUCUCUGAUGAGUCUCCCCUUCUUCCGGUUGCUGCCGAAGUAUAUGCUCCGCUUUGGUUAAUAUCCUUGUGCUAUAGCUAUCUUUGCUUACAAUUUGACCGAUAUAAAAGGCGCUUCAUUAAUCUAUCCCUCCCUAAACUAGCUGUUUAGCAUCUUCAAGCUUGGGAAAGAGUGCUCAGAGUAUAUCGGCUAUGUGCUGCCUAUGUUGACUUGGAGGUCCUAAGCACGUAUCUAUCUCUCUUCCUCUCUUCGCUUUGGACUUAAUAGAUUGAAACCCGUUUUUGGAGUGCAAAAUGCCUUUGCUUUGUUUUACCCCUGUCUUUCUUUCUUAUUAAGAGUUUCGUUAUUUGUUUCUUCCCUAUAUAUAUAAGAGUUUCGUUAUUUCUUUCUUUCCUAUAUAUAUAAGAGUUUAUUAGUUAUUUGUUUCUUCUUUUUCUUUCUUAUAUAUAUAAGAGUUUCUUUCUUUCUGAUUUUGCACUUCACUUCUUAUUUGUGUUUGUGUUAGUUUUUCGAAAAACCUUUGCCGAGGAGCUCAUAUAGCGCCAAACAUAAGUCUAAAGGAGAUCGAUAGGGUCCACGGCUCGCUCUUUAGAGAGGAAACACUAAAUGGGAGCCGAUGGCAUUACAUUGACAUGAUUUACAAACGGAGCUGGAACUCGAGGUAGAGGAAAAGGGGGGCAAGGAGGAUGACUUUCUUAUAUAUUUUCGAAUUCGAGAUGAGGGAUGAGCGAGACGCUUGUGCCAAUAACACAUUGGAUGGGAGCCUUCUCUUCUCUGGCUAAAGGUUUUGCCGCGGGAACUCGCACAGAGGCCUUAAACUAAUCAACAUCAUCCUUAUUCGGGCCUCCAUGUAGAAAUCAACCUCGUACGCUGAUCCUUCACCCCCCAAUUCGAUGGGAAAAAGGAAAUGGAAAGUGUCUUGCAGAACAGAGAAACGGAGAAUUUCUUCUUUGUUAAUAGAUGGAACACUAAUAGAGGUUUUUUGAUCUAACAUGUGUUAUACCCAAACCGGAUCCAUCACCUAGAACGAUCUCAUCAGGCCCUUUCAUACUCAUAGUUCAGAGAGAGAUUGCUUAAGUCACUGGUAACACUCUUAGAGGCAGCCGAGUAAACAAGCCAUCCUUUCUUGAUGGGGGGAGAGGACGACGCACAGUUGGCUACAGGAUCCUUAGUUUGGUGGUGCGCGAGGACAUUUUCCGGCGGUGUGGCCGGCUCUUCCAGGUCAUUAGUUUUAGUUGUUAGUUUACACACUCUUUUUUCACCUUGGGCUUUCUGUCCAUUUCGGUUAUUGCUCUAUUUGUUUGCUUGAUUGUUAUUGCUGAGCGAGUGUAAUUGGCUGUUGCUAUGGAUACAUCACUACCAGCUUCUUUUCUUAUAAGAGACCCCUCAUAUGCCACCAGCUUCUUACCCCUCAUAUGCCACCAGCUUCUCAUGCAACUCCUCAAAGGUUAUGGGAUUUUCUCGUGCACGAACCAGCAAUCUCCUUUCACUCUGACCAUUCUUAGCAUUCAUAACGAUAUCGUCCUCAGCCAAUGGUGCAUCAAUGAUGGCUAACUCAUCUUAGAUAGUAUUUCUCUGUUGUGCAAGUCUUUUGCCACAGGUUUCGAGUCAUGGCGAGUGAGGGUGAGCCGCUCUUUCUGAUUCAUAACUCUUGAGCGAGAUCUAUUUGCAUAAAGUUUGCCAAGCUUCGUCUAGGCUUCAUGAGAUGUUUUUUCAGAUGCUAUAAGAGGCAUGCCCUAUUCUGAGACUGAUGCAAUGAUAGCAUGCAGCAACAACGGAUCCUGUCGAACCCAAUAGGUGUAGGAUUUGGUGAGACCGAGUGAUUAAAGGGCACCCAUCCUGAACAACGGUCUUUCGAAGGGCAUGGCACAGAGCCAUCAACAAAGCCCAUCAGGUCAUAACCAAGAAAAGCUGCGAGUGGAACUGAGAACGCCAUGAUGGAAAAUUCAUGGGCUUGAGUUUCGUUUCAGAGGUGACUGGGCAGCGGCAUUGAUCGAAAUAAGGGCGCUGCUCGAAGCGAGUCAAGUAUAUGUAUAGACAACCACGUGAGCGGCAGUUGAGUGUUAUUGGAUGCCAUGGGGGGUGCUUUUCUCUCUUGCUCGUUGGAGCGUGAUUGCUCCGUUACCAUGUUCUACAAUCAUGUGCUCCAAAUUCCGCUAUCAUAGGCCUAAUAUUCUAGUGUUGCAUCUAUCGCCUCUGGGCUUUCUUUUCUAUUUCUUUCACAAUGAAAACGUCGUGCAGAUGCUCAGGUGCCUACGGCUGGCUGGUCAAAUAACAGGGAAUCAGAUUAUACAAAAGAGAAACUCCAAUGCAAGAGACAGAAGAGAGAUAAUGGGUUUCUAUGAAUUGGCCUGUCCUACGAAUAGGCGCUGUCCAGAGUUCCACUUUCGGCUUGGAUGGAAUUGCUUAAGGAAAGGCUACUUAUUUCUUCCCUUCCUAUUUCAUUGGAGUGCCUACUCUUGCUCGAAAUUAUGAGAAAACUCCCACCUUGAAGAGAGCUAAAUGAAAACCAACAAUAGGACUGAAUGAAAGCGCCAUCACCCAAGGACGGAACCUUUCCUAUACCAGUACUUAAGCAAGAGACUCUUAUAAGUCCAAUACUGAUCAACGAAUAGAAUGAUUUUGCCGUAUCGGGGGAAGCGCUGAUUCAAAAGACUGAUCUUUCUGACUCAUUUUCUGACAUUGCCUUCUCUUUCUGACAUGAGACUUCUCUUUCUUUCAAAGGGUAACUAGCCUAAGAGUCACUUCCGAAGCGCAACGUAUGGGACGAAAUCCGGCAUUGCUAGCUCUGAAUGAAAUAGAUCCAAUCCACUAUGAAGGCAAUGGGUCUGGUCUGAGAAAAGAUAGGGCCACGCCCCUACUGCCUAUAGAAUGAUUGCCAUUAAACACACUAUAUAUAUGGAUAAAGGAUGGAAUGGAAUGAAAGAAACUCCUACUGCCUAUAGAAUGAUUGCAAUUUCCAUAUAUAUAUCCAUAUGGAUAAAGGAUAGAAUUGAUAGAAACCCCUACUGCCUAUAUUCAAUUGAUAUUCUACUUUGAUGGAUGGAAUUGAUAGAGAAAGAAAGCACCGUCAAGAUCUCGAACGGUUGAGGCGCUUUUUCUUAUCCAUAGAAAACAGAAAAGAACUUCCUUCGCGAGGAGCCUUUGAAUCGAUGCACCGAAGAAAGGAAAGAUCGAGAUGCCCUUUUAUCAACAUCACGGAAUCGUCGAGAAUGAUGAAUUGGCUAUUUGAAAAUAGGAAGAAAACCACAGCAUGUAAGGUUUCGGUCCAUCUUACCAUAUAAGGAAAAGCCCCAGAUACUUGAUCUGAUUCCCACUACUAUUUAUUAGCUUAAGUCACCAGACCUAUCAGACAGGGAUAAUCAUUCUGGUCCUGUCCUCUGGGGGAAUAACUUCUGAGACCUUAGAGCAAGUGUAAAGACCAAUCCAGCAGCAAAGCAAAAUAGCUGCCCCGUUGUCUUACCCGCCAAAAGGAAAAGCAGACAGACCCAUUCGAUGCAAUCCAUGGUAGUUGUGCCUUAGCGAGCUCUUUUGAAAGACAUUGUGCUUACAUAGGAGUUCCCGUCUUCCGCUUACGUAAGAAUUAUGUGAGUUCCCCUGUUUUCGCAGUGCUUGUUAAGUCUUAGAAAGAAUCUGAGGUGAAGUCGUUAACAGCAAUCGGUUCUGUUCCAGUUGCCCUUACUUAUAACGGUUGGUGACUCGAAUCCUAUAAUGAAAGACGGAAUAGAAUGAGAAACUGCUGAAGCAAGGUGUGGUCCAAGUCGAGUUGUGGUGCUAGGAAAGGAGACAUUGAAAACAGAAGAUACUGGAUCAGCACCAAACACUGUUUCAAGAGAAGAAAAGAAGCUGCGGUGUCAAAGUGAGCAACUGGCGGUUCCGUUCGAGUUUCACUUACAUUAGAUAGAAUUUGGUAACCAAGGAUAGGAUAGGACACUCUUUAGCCCGGAUCAGAAGCCUCAUCAUUGCCAGUGAUAGUUCUAGGUUAAGUUUCAUCCAUAAGAGCAUCUCUUUCAGUUCGCCUAGUUCGAGUGUAAUCCUUAUAGAAAUAAGAUCGAUCAUCUCUACCUACUGUACUGAUAAAGCUAAUGCUGAUGUUCAAUCAUACUCGUCUCUUUCUCUUGAAGAUAAGGAAUAGAUGAAGUUCUCUUGAGGAUAAGGAAUUGAGAAAGGUGUUGUAUAUAGAGAAAAGUCAUAUUAAUAAGAUAUUAGAGUUGGAUAUAGAGAAAAGUCAUAUUAAUAAGAUCUUAGAUGUGAUGCAAGAGAGUCGACGAGAUAAGUCAUUGGCUCUAAGUCUUUAACAGGAGAAGAGAUAGGUUCCGUUCGAGUUCAAGUUGCAAGAUCCGUUCUUGGCUACCAGGUUAUUUCUUGGCUUGCUCCCUUGCUUCCUGACAGCUUGAGCAACUAAGUAGGGUCUGUUUUCGGCUACCCAAUGAAAUAUAGUGCGCAGAUAGGAAUUUGACAAUGAAAUCUUGACUGAAGAAUGCAAUUGAGAGCAGAUAGUGCACCCAUACAUCCAUUAGAGUUGAGAGUGAAAGUCUUUGUUUGUUUUUGUUGGAUUCCUGGGUUAUUGGGUUAUUAUGAUCCCUCGCCCCAAAGGAAAGUCUUGCUUUUGGCAGUUCUAUUCUGAUUAUUGACUACUCUUUUUCUUAUGGCUCAUAUAAAAAGACAGGCUUUCAGCACCCGAAUCCUUUGUUCGUCCGCCUGUUUUCGUUCCUGUGUUUGUGUUGCGCGGCAGGAGCCCCGGGGUCGCAAAGGAAGCUUGAAUAUAGAAACUCAAGAAAGGCCCGGGAAAGAGCAUCACUACUAUAUGGAAUUAUAAGAACUGGUGCUCUAGUGAAUCAGUAUUUUCGUUCUUGGAAUCCGUUUUGUGAUUAAUCGACCGUUAGAGGUUCAAAGUAUGACUUAAAGACUCUCAAUCAAUUAGUUAUUUUCAUUAAGGGUUGAUUCAAUGACUCAAUUUCUCCUUGAUAAGGAAUUUGUGCAUCAGGUGCAACGACUUCUGGUGUAGCUUGGCUAGCCCCAGAGGCAUUUGCACAUUCAUUUUCCCACCAGAGUUUGAGGAAAGACACUGGAAUUGCCCGAUGUGCCCGCGCACUUCUUUACUUGAUUCAGAAGCACUUGAUUGAGACCACGGGUUACGUCUAGAAAGAUAUGGGAUAUGGGGAUAAAGGGCAGCCGGAGCCUUUGUUAGCGUUAACAGUACAGCUAGCUUCACUUUCAAUGGGUUUGCUUUCGUUUUUCAUCCGGGGCUGUGCCCUGAAAGAGACUACAAGAAUACGAGGUAGUGUUGAGACCGAAGAAUCCAUUCCAUAGUGACCUUGCUUGUCAAAAGGCAGAAAUACUCGCAUCUCUAUCACCGAAUCCGGAUUCUGGUUCUUUCUUUGAUAAGAAUCGAUCCUCCGUUUGCCUUGGCUGGAAGAAGAAGAUUUAGCAGGUAGUAAGGGAUGACAGCUGCCCCCAAGGUUGAAUGAAGAUCUGAUCUCCUUUCUUUCUGAGGAUCAACUAGUAGUUCCCGAUAAAGGAAAAUGACACUGAUUUCGGGUUUCUCUAUUUUCUUUCAUUUUCUUAGAAAAGGUGUGUUUGUGAGGCAGAAAAGAAAAGUAAACCUACCUAUAAAUAAGGCUUUCCAGCCCCAGCCAGUAUAACUAGAAAAGCUAUAAAAGUCCAGCUGUAUAACUAGAAAAGCUAUCGAAGUCCACAUACCAAAUAUGGAACAUGCAUUUCCGAAACUUCCAACUAUAACUAUAAUUCAAGCAUAAAGCUUAUGGCCAUGGGAUAAGUUCCUUUCGAAGGAAGACCUUUUACUUGCGAUUGAAUGAGUUGGUUUGCUAACAGGGGAGAAUUCUAGGCAAGGCAGGACUACUUUCUACUACAUUUUCAAUCAGAAGAGACGGAUUUCCAUUUUAAGGACAAGGAGACAAUUUAGUAGACCGCGGAUGUCAGCACCUUAUUGUUGGGUAGGGCCCGAGGAAAGAAGGAAAAGCUCAAGUGGUUGUCUUCCCGACACAGGGAGCGGAGAGCCUAUUCGUAGACCUUCGGAUAAGACAUAGAUAGGCGGACUUCCCUUAGUCUAUCAAGGAAGAAAAGAAGGAGUGAGUUUAGUACCAAAAGCCAGAGGUGUUACCGACACAGGGAGUGGAUAGCCUAUUUGGAGGCCGGCAGGGAAGAAAUAGCUGACUUAAGCUACUACAGCAAGGAAAGGAAAAAGCCCGAAGUGCGGCACUAACAAAAGUCCAAAGCUCAGUAAGCACUUAUACUUUCUACCCCAUACAUUAGCACUUAUACACUGUCAACAACAGUUGGGCCUGUACAAAUUCUUGUCUUGCAACUACAGUUGGGGCUGUACUCAGUAAACCUUUAAUGGAAUCCAUCUUAUAAAUACACUAAAUAUAUCAUCUGUUGCAUUAAGAAUUGGUUCUAUCUCUACUAUAGCAUUAAUCAUUUAUGCUGCAAUCUCUACCCUAGCUUGUAUACUCGAAACCUAAACCUCUGCUGCUUGUUUACUCUAAACCUCUGCUUUGUCAAGCAUCUGAACUAUCAUACAGGGCUAAGCUGUUUCUCUUUGAUGAGAGGUAAAGGGUCUCGUGCUCGUCCUCGCUGUCAGUCGGUAGGGUAGCGAGUAGGUUAUGGUCUACCAGUUGGAGGGUCCGAGUCAAGUAGGUGUCUGAGGGAAAGGCGAAGUCCAUAAAAGAACUAUAUGGGGAUGCCUAUCUCUUCUAUUACAUAGUUGGAUUGAUUCAUGUCCCUCAGUGGAGUUCCGUUAUUGAAGGCAGUGAGAGCCCAGUAGGAGAGGCGUUCCAGAGUAGUGGUCCAAGCAUUAAGGUUCAGCGGCUAUUACUCAGGGUAGUGAAGGAACUCCUAUAUGUCACUAUUGCUUAAGUCAGGGUUAAGGUCCAGAAACAUACUUGCUUGUAUAUGAAGGUACCCAUAGCUAUUGGUAUAUGUUGGUGCUAAUAUUCAAUCAAUACAAUAGUAGUAUUUUAAGUCCUCUCGUGGCUUUCCUAUGGAAGCAGGUGCCUAUCUUAUCAUAAUGGGUACAGUAGAGCUGCCAACCACGCCUUUACCGAGUCCACUGGGUCUUGCGCCGCUCCUACCCCUUCUUUCCUUGAUAAGUAUCAUCCUUCUCCCCUUUACUGAACCCAGCUUUUACACCCAACACAGAAAGAGAAGAGCACACGACAGAAAGCCAUUUCGUUCUCAUCCGUCCGCGAGCCUAGGCACGAAACACAAGUCUGUUCACCACUGCUAAAAAGAACGCUAGUGACCCGUAAUCCGACUCUAACUGGUGCUUGCCCACUACACAGACAGGAAGGAAAGAAGCAUAAUGUAGUAUAGAAUGCAGCCUAUCUAAUCUAAUGUAGUGUCAGUUCAACAAGGUAAAGGAAUGACCUAUUGUACUAAGUGUAAUAGUAUAUGGAAGCUAAGAUUUCUAAGUAUAUUAGUUCCAAUCUUACUAACGCUUUAUUCAGGACUCUCGCUUAAUUCAGUAAUGGCUUAAAGUCAAUAGUGAGGUUACUUAUUAUGUUAUAAGAUCAUAUCUCUCUCAGAUUUCUAAGUCUUACAUACAAGUAUCAUAGUAUCAUAGUAUAAAUUAGGUGCCAACUUCACUAUAUAAUAUUCCAGGGUGGAGUCCUGAGUUGCUUGUUCAGUUCAGUCUAAAGGAACAGUAUCAAAGGAGAAAUACCAUCUAGUAGCUCUGCCAGCAUGGGGGUAGUUCAGUCUAAAGUAAGGGUAGCAAGUGUCAUUGUCGCGAUAGGUUAUUGGCCAAAGGCAGGAAAGGAAGCAGUUAGAGCAGAGACAGCAGUAAUGGAUGAGCUUUGGAGUUUCGGGGAACAAGUUAGAGCAGAUCCAGUAGUCAAUAGAUGAGCUUUGGAGUUUCGCAGUUAGAGCUGAGUUAAGGGAGUAAACAGUCAGGUUAAUCAAUUACGGAAGUAGUAUGCACUCAACAAGCUAUGUUACCAAGUACUAGCUACGUUCUUUUAGUUGCGCAAACAGGUGAGCUUUGGAGGAAAGUAAGCUCGAGAAUCAUCUGUGUCAGCAGCAAGCGGGAAAUCAAGUGUAGAGUAUGGUUGACGGUUGCCCGUAAAGUAGACAUCGACAACAGAAUCCGCUGUUACAAUAAAAUCAGCAGCAGUGAGAGUUUCUAAAUUGACAGUGCCAGCAACCAACAGCAAAUAUAUUACUUGCUACCACUUGUGGCUUUGCUUGUUCCGGUGAUUUCAUCAUUUUCCCCUAGCAGUGGAUUCCCCCACUUUUCGCAAGAGUCCCGAGUGUGCGCAAGCCCUUAAUGCGAGUUCCAGUUCCGUUUGAGUGUCAUCAUAUAUAGAAGCGUAGGUCAAGUCAAGUAUAUAUAUAAGCUAAGCUGUCUUCGGAUUCUUAAGCAAGCAGUACAGUCAUUGUAUCAAGAAGCCCACGUAGCGGUUAAGCAGUUCAGUCAAGAAGUCGAAGGGCCGCCCAACGUCUGACUUAGUUGCUUGGCCCCUUAUGCUUACUACCAUUCCGAGUCUAUUUACUAUAUGUGCUUAGUCUAUUCCUUUAUUGGAUACACUAUGCUAUACCUCUCUUAUAAUGAGGAGCCGGGACAUGGGAUACUAACAACAGUAGAAGACCUCACACUCAAACACAAACAUAUGAAUUGAAGGCGGUAAACUAACCAAGUUAGAGCUAGGAGAGGAAGAGUCAAAGGUAGAAUACAAGCAACAGAGGGGUGAUUGAAGAAUUCGCUAUAGUAGUUUCAGAGUGUGAAUUGGUAGGUUCAAUCUAAUGGGGCAGUGUCCAAUUCUUUAAGAUACCCGUGAGUAUGUAAGUGGAGAGUCUAAGCCGGUUAUAUGGGUUGUGGGUAGGCCCCUUCCCUUCCUUUUGUGCAGUCUCUGAUCUCUAGGGCUACUCUUUAUUAGAUUGCUUCAGCUGAAGAACCCAGACUGGCAUGAUUGGAUUGAAGCGGUUUACUGACAAGACGUUCACGGAAAAACAGACAGACGAUACAUUCCUUUGUAUUGAGAGUGAAGAUGUACAGAGUAAGCGCGCUAAUCGUUUUUCACGACAGGAGCGCUGAAAGGUGUUGAAAGAAAAGAGCCUUUACUUGAAUAUAGGUGAAUAGAAUAUAGGAAUGAUUCGGAUAGAAUAUGGGAAUGAUUCAGAAGAUAGUUCAUUAUUGAGAGAAAAGAAUGGCUUUUGAGUAAAGCAUAGGAUGCAUAGAAUAUCUGUCUGAGUUCAAACACAAGGCUAUGUGAAAGAUCCGGUCUGAAAACGGAAAACACUAACCCAUUCAAGGCAUUGGAGAUAAGUACGCAUGGUGGCCAAACCUGUGAAAUCGGGACAGGCAAGUCAGUGUACCGAAUAGACUGCCUUCCUAAAUAGAGAGUUUCAUUCAUACUCUCCGUAAAUGAGCUAUCUGUCCUUCCAUUCUUUGGAAGGUGCAUUUAAUCUCCUGUCGUAAGCGCUAAGAAAGAGGCAGGAGAUCAAUGAAAUAUGAGUCAUCUUGUAUAUAUCAUAUCAUACCAACCCUAGGCAAAAAGAGACUCGGUUCACUAUUCGCCAUCGCAUAAAAAGCAGCUCUUUCCUUCUAUAUAAGCGGAGUUCAAAAGUUUCAAUAAGUAUAAAGUUAAGAGAAACUAGCAUAGCAUCUUUCGUGAAGAUCCACUACCAUCUUUCCUUUUAUUUCCUCCGCACCAUCUCUAAGUUCACAUUUCUUUUGACUCCCAUUAGAGACAAAUACAAAACAAACACAAAAGGGUAUAUUCUUUAAAUGGCUUUUUUUGCCCAGAUAGAAUAGGCGUGUUCAUACAGUUGUAUAUUCAACCAAAGAAUAAUAAGCUAUCACUGAAGAAUUGGACUUACUAAGUGUCGACUUACUCGAGUUUCUUAUGAACUGGGCUUGGAGCCGCUGCUAGAUAUGCGCUUAAAACCCCAAUACAUAAUGGGUCUUUUCUACUUUACUACAGGGGAAGAGCUGGAAAGAGGGACAGUAGCUUGGGACAGGUGAAACAAGAAAGCCAUCCGUUAUGUUCCCGUGGUUGAGUCACUCACGAAUGUUUCGUCCCAAUCCAUAUUGCUUUGGUGGGGAACGAGUAGUCCACAUCUCUGAUGAUCCACAUAGUCUGCUUGCUUUUUAUGUCCUUCAAGAUUGUCGGUGGGUGCAGAAUAUGGCUCUUUCCAAAUAGAUGAGGGACGGCGUUUUUGAUACCUAAGUCAGAGGAAGCUAUCAGACGCAUUGGCUGGCUUAAGAAGAUCAGAUCUAUCACGAAUAGGUUUCACAGCAGCUGCAGUCACAACAGAGGAGCUCGUUAUGAAGUAAAGUACCUGCAUUCCACAUUGGAAAUGAUACAUAGAAGUGGAAUUGCGGUCGUAACAUUCUAAUGCCUUAAUUGGGAAUACGGGAGAUCCUUGGUUAAGAUCUGGCUCGGAUGCUACAGGUAGCUAAGCUAAGCAUUUGGAUCUGCUACUCGGAUUGCAAAUGGUUCCAAAUACUGGCUGAAACGGAAUACAAAAACCAAUUGGUGGAACUACAAAUGAUGAGUAAACUCGGUAAAGUACUGCUUGCUACUUUUAUUAGGCGCUGAGCUAUGCAUGGACGCCUAUCGAGCUUCGUUUGACCUGACCCGACCCUACUCAUAUCCGAAUAUAUUACUAAUAUCCUAAUAUAUAAUAAAUAUGAAUUUGAUAAUAUAUCUUUGCCUUUAUGAAAUGGAUAAUGUAUCUUAGCCUUUGUUUGUAUAGUAUACGGGUGAAUGGUUUUAUGGAGAUACUCAGGGUCAAACCUUUAUUAAAGAAAUACUAUUUCACAUCUUUCGUGAGAGAGGGAUCGGAUCUAAGAAUCACAGUCAAUGCACUCUAUCAAAACGGAUCCUUUUUCUCCUAACAUCAACUUUACCGCCUCUUCGAAACUACAGGGAUGCUGGCUAGGACUGGUUCAAUUGGUGCUCUGGCUGGGUCAACUACUGAGCUGAAUCAACAACUUACAGUAGCUUAGAUGCAGCUGUAUCCGCAUUUCCACUUACUGGGUCGGAUAUGAUUCAAAUGCUUAAGCCUCUUACGCUGAUCCACUGGAUGCUGCUUCAACGCCCUUUGCCACUUUCGAAGAACUACCGUUCGGACUUGUUUCUUGCUAUGACGGCAGGUACGGAAUCCUUAUUCUAGGCUCAAGCGGAAGAUAUAUCAGAACCGGGUAAAGAAGAUCUAAUUGAUUCAUAAGAAUGAGCGGAUUAAGCAGUUACAAUGGAAUAAGCAAGUGCCCGUAUCUGAUCCUGCUUGAACUUCAUCUUUCUUUCGCCUCGCGGUCAACUAAUCAUUAAUUCCAUCUUUCGAGCUUAAGGAAAACAGUAAAGUCAACUAAUUCCAAUAAUUCAUUGAACUCGCCUAUAUCAAAGGAAUGCAAUCUAAAGGGCUUUGAAGCCGGAGUUUGCUUGCAGCUAACCUAACUGCUUCCAUCUUUUCUUUAUCUUCGAGCCUAUCUUUUGAGACUAUACUAUAAGCAAAGCAGGGUACCCGAGAAAGUGUUUGGAUUCCAGUUCAUGCACUGGAGCCUUUCUUUACCAACUAUUAGAAAGAAUCCCCUCCUCAGUAGCUAAGUGGUAUACGGUGGUAUAGCAGUUAUCAUAUUGAGUGUUCCAUAUGGGUUCGUCUACUUGACUUUGGUGGUGCUAUGCUAUAUUCUAUUUAGCUUCGUAUAGGUCUAGCUCAGUAGUGAAGACCACGUAUUACUCUUUUUUAGAAAACGCAACUUACCUAUAAUGAGAAUGGGUGAAGUUCAUAUUGACUUGGAUAUUCACUGUUGGUACUCGUACUAUCACCUCUGUAUCUGCUGGAUAUAGAUAUGGCUCUAAGUAACUGUCACUUAGUCAACAGGUUCUUCGUUCAAAAACCGGAUAAAAGACUCGCUCAGUUAAUGCUAUUGGUCAAAAUGUAACUACCACGGGUUCUUUGACUGGAUCAAGGUAUGUAUAUGCUUAUGGCUCUGCUCUUGCAACCCUAGCUUAUGGUGCUGGUCCUACAACAGGGUAUUAUGCAACUGAUGCUUUUUAUGUAUUAGCUACUUAUGCUCCUCUAGUGGUGUUGAUACUCGGUAGAGACAAAUCCAACCCGAAGAGCACCACGCUUGUUCACGAACGAAGUGGUAGUCAAUUUCUAUAUGUUUGGUACGGGCAUUCAAUAUUGGAUGGACGGCUUCUCAUGCAUACAGUUUUUUCCCGACGCCCUACUAUAGGGUAUUACGGGCGCACCGAUACGUCCGGCUCAUCCACAGCUCUAUCUUCCGAGCCCCCCUAUGUUGUAAGUGAUUGGGUUAGGGGGUGAAUACAAGCUAGCAGGCAAUAAAGCUAGUGAAUCAGAAUUCUAGUCAAGAUUGACUUGUCGUGGUUUACAGUGGCUCGCUUGGUGAUGGAGGCCCCGGCAUUCUUUAGACCAAACUGAAUCACCUUGUUACCCCUUUCUUAUAUAGUGCGCCGUUUUCUCUCUGUCUCGAAGGUAGGUUAAGUCAAGUGUCAAGUCAGGGCUUAGGUUCCAAAUGGGGGCUGGGCUGGAGCAGCAACUCUCGCAUCAGCUGUAGCGGCGCAUUGUAAAGGUGCUUAGUUCGUCGAGCAAUUUCAGGCUAUCUGAGCGGGCAGAGGGAAAGCAAGAUGAUCGACCGGCUACAGGAAUUGCAGAGGCUCUCGAACUUUAUGUGCUCACUACUCGUUGCAUAUCCUGCUCCUCUUAUAAUAGCAGUAGCUCUCCUUUAGUAGCUAGUGGCUCUUCAUAAGGUGGAGCUCAGUGGAAUAUGCCGCCAACAGCAGCAUCGGUCGAUAGGCAGGCGAUAGUUGCUUCGGUCAUCUUCCCUGUGUCAGUCUAGUCCUUUGUGCCAUAAGAGUGCCUGCAAGGUCAUUCUAUGAGGGCUGCCUUACUAGCGUUCCUUCCUAUAAGGCUAGACAGACGAUUCCACAUGUUCGUCCGUUACUAACCGGCAUUUCUUCCAGAAUUAAGAGAGAGUAGAGCUAUUGAAACAGAAAGCCUAUGAGGCUCGGUACGCUAUACACAUCCUGUUGCCAGCAUCAAAGACCCUUCUUUCCUUGUGCUCCGGCCAAGUCUUCCCGCUCGCCCAGAGAAUUCUUCCUUUUAGAUACUCACUAACGCCCUCCUUAAGGGUCUUGCUCUUGAUCCUAUAACUCUUCAAUCCUAUGAUUGGGGUCUUUGUCUUUGGGCUCUAUCUUCUUUCUUAUUGAAUCUAUAGAACUAGCUCGAGCAAGCUUAAGAAAAAAGGGGGAAUUUCUGGUACUAAAGGAGAAGGGUUCGUGCCUUUCCCCGAUGAAAAAAGAAGGAAUCUCAUCUUUGUUCUAUGUUUGGGAGUAAGCCAGUCAAUGUGCCCGCUGUUGUGUAUGAGCAAGCGAUCUGAUCCUAUGCGCCUUUCUCCUUUUAGUGAAACCAACCGUCCCUUAGCUCGUGUUAUCAGAGUCACUUCAUCCAGUUUUCAAUAAGGAUGAGAGGGCUUUGAAUGAGAGAAAUCAUAGUUCGGGUGUGGUGAAGUCUUGGAUUGGAAGUCAACUAGCUCGACUGGAAGUAAACUAGCUCGACCAGUUGCUUAUAAAGAUUUUCCAGAAGAAGGAAGAAUUGCUGAGAAGGCUAAUCAUAUAGUGCAUUGGUGGAAAUAUGUACUCUCCCCACGAAGGGUUGGAUCCUUCCGCUGUAUAAUCUCGCUUGACUACUGGUAUGUAUGUCCGAAGUCCCCUUCUAAGCUAAGCCAAGCUCUCUGUUCUCUUCCAUUUGCAAGCUCUUUGAUAUCCGGUAGUUUCCCUUUGAAAAAAACACCUAGACUCCACUUCGGUAUCAUUUUGGAUUGAGUUAGCUAGGGCUCCUUUGAUCGUGCAUCUUCCUUACUGCCUUAACAUACAGCCUUCUUAGGAUUCUACAUGACAUGAUGUAAAAGACUAAACCUCCCCUCCUUCUUAAAGACUGUCCUACCCGAGGCUAGCGAACCCACCACCCAAACUCAUUAGCAUUCCUGCCUACCGCUAUACGUGGGCGCUGGAAGCUAUUGAAAUCGGACAAUUCGGAUUGUUACUGAGACGCGUAACACAGGCUAAUCGAUGAAAUGAUAGAGUGAUAAAGGGGCUAAGGCUCACUACGAAAUUGAUUGAAAUGGUGGAGAGAAUCGGGAUGAAAGGUAUGGAUCAGAUCGAGCCCGAGAUGCGGAUCAUGAGCAGAGCAAACCAAGAUAUUCAAUGGAUAUGCAAUGAGGGAGCGCUAGCCCCAAGGGUCAGAGAAAGUAUAGCUACCCGAGCUGUCAUGAGUUCAGUUCAUAAACUCAAAGGAGUUGAUCUUAGCCCUUAAGAGGGGGCCGAGGCUGGUAAUAAAGGUAUGAAAGCCAAACCACUUUCCAUUAAGGGAAAACGGAGGCAGCUUCUUCGUGCUAUGCUAUAAGUGGGCGCCCCUAGACCAUAGAAAGAAUAGAGCCAACGGUGCAGCUUCGGACUAGGUAGGGUGUCGAACCUCAUGUUUUCGAUCUCAGCCCCAGCCCCACUUCUGUUAUGCCAACUACCAGUAUUAGAUAGUGCCCCCAAAAAGGAAGCUUUAGUUCCACUUCUAUUGAUGCAAUAUACCCUUCCAGCGAGUUUUCCUAUCCCCGAGUCUAAGGGGUAGCUUUAUAUACUAGAAUACUGGUGCCCUUAAGUAAUUGCAUCCGAACAUUUUCUACAUCAACCAGGGACGAAUGGGGGUCGCUUCCUCUCUGCUAUGCUAGGAAUAGGAAUACUUGAAUGAAAAGAAUUAGAAACCCUUGCCUUACUUCCGAAUCCAUGCGGCUUUUCUUAGGUCCGUUUUUGUUACCCUUUUACUUAGAGUUAGAGUUAAUGUCUCUAUCGAAGUUCUAAGAUUACCACUUUCUGCAUUUUAUUCCCGGCCUGGAUAAAGUAAAGACUUUGGGCACGUCCCUCUAUAUUCGUUUUCUGGGAAUGCCUCUACCCACUUGAACUCUCUGGGUGCAUCGAGACAAAGUAUCAAGUGUCUUUGUGAUUCAAUUCUAUAAGUGAGUAAGCAUAGCAUCCUCCAGUUCUCUCGUCUUUCUCUUUCUUCUUUGAAAAUGAUGUUAGGUUCCGAUCCGUAGGUUUUAGUGAAAGGGAUGCUCUAUCUGCUUUCCCUUCUUUCUUCUAAUUAUUUCUACGAGUCUAAAGGGAGUUAUAUUCUUUUCUCGGGGCUUGUUUAUUUGAAUAUAAGUCACUUUGAAGAUCUAAUUAGAAUUAUGCAUUCGAGGUGCUAAGUAAAGAAUCAGAAUUUCUAUCGUAUGGGAAAGUCAAAAGUCCGGCCGAUAAAAAGAAGUCGAAAUAUAACGCCAAUCCCCGCGGUGAUCUUCGCUUAAGAAAAACUCACGAGCUGGGCUUUUCCACGGACAAAGAAUGGAGUCCAACAGCUCUUUGUAAGGCGGAAGAAACAUAUAAUAUAUAAGAAGCGCUGUCUCCGAUGGCAUCAGCAUGCGUCUAGUACAUAUUUCUUUCUCUUGUCUUCGUAAGUCAAGGGUGUUUAGUUUCUUUUCGUUUUCAGUCCUCUUACUCGUUUGAUGUGUCUUCAUGUAUGGGUUGAAAGUUGGCAAAACACUUGUGGACCUCACGUUUAAGUCAGUCUAGUUACAUGAAUGUAAACUACUGUACUGCCCCCAUCUGAGAUAAUGAAUUCAGAUAUAAUUGAGGUCCAGCUCCUAUUUUGGCAAACUAAAGGGUUUGUGUUGAUCCUCAAUCUCGUCCCCUUCUGGUCUCUCUCUAGACAUGUGUUCUUUCGUCGAAAGCAUUAUGUUUCUUUUAGCCUUCAUCUUCCUCUGCCGUUGCUUAUGUAGGGUCCCGACCUCCUUCUUCUAUUCGACUUGUGCCCUUCCGGAGACUUCAUCUUUGCCAUCUGCUGAUGACUCUCACCCUCGUCGACGUGUCUUGUGUCCAUCCCUAUUACUUAUGUUGUACACUCUCGCUGGGCUAUCGGUUACAUUACUUGAGAUUGAUAGGUAUUAACAGCACUUUAGAGGGUAUUGAUAGGCAUUCACAUGACUUUCUAGGGUAUUGAUAGGCAUUCAGAGCAGCUUGCAGCCUCGCCAGAUCUUACAUCUCUGGUUGUCGAUCCUACACCACAGGUUCGUAGGUCUUAUCGCAUUUUCACGAAGCCUAUUUGUUUCGUUGAAUCUCACUUGUUCACUCCUCGUUAUCAUGCCUUUUUAGCUGCUCUUCACUCUUUCCAUGAGCCUCAGUAAACUAGGGAGGCAGGCAGCCGAGCCGCUAUUCAAUGUUGGCAACAGGCAAUCAAUAUCUUAAGAACGGACUGCCCUUCAGCAGAAUGCCAUUUUGGAUCUUUUUCUUCUUCCGUCUGGUAAGGUUGCUAUUGGUUUCCGUUUCCGUCUGGUAAGGUUGCUAUUGGUUUCCGUUAGGUUUCUAAAGUGAAGACGUGAUCUGAUGGGUCUGUUGAGAGAGACAAAGCUAGGCUGGUAGCCAGAGCGGAACCCGCAUAGACAUUAAGGAGACUUUUGCGCCUGUGGCUAAGAUGACUAGUAGUUUGACCAUUAUUGCCAUUGCAGCGGUUGGCCACUCUAUAAGUUAUACGUUCCUUAUAUGCCUUAUACCAUGGUUAUCUUCAUCUGGAGGUGUACAUGCUGCCUAGCCUACCCCUUGAAAAGAUUCCGCUCCUUCUACUAAUGUAUGCCCCUUAAGCAAAGCCUUCUAUGGUAGCCUAUUGCGUUGGUUUUUCAAGUUUAGCACAGUGCCAUUGCUCGGGGAGUUUUCAUGAUUCGGCCAUGUUCUUUUCUUUUUCUCCUCGAAAACGUGCUAUUCUGUUGUUCUAUGUUCAGGAUAUUCAACUUACUGGUAAUUACUCCGUUAACAUAUCACUGAUCAUGUGUCGCCUUCAUCAAUGAACCUCUUCAUCGCCCUUUAUCUAUACUUCACUCUAAAAAGAACCUGCUCCAUAGAAUGGAAUUGAAAUGAAAAAGGUAGUAAGCGGCUCUGCCGCGCAACUUGUCUAGUUGCUUGGCGAUUAUGAAUCGCUUAUUACUUGUUUGUUUACUUGUUUCAUUGAGUGCAAAAGAAAAAGCACAUUACUGGAAAUAGAGUAUUGUUGAAUAUGACGUUAACCCAUAAUGUAAUAAAGUAACUCACUACCUAUGACUCUCGGGGAUUCACUCACUACCUAUGACUCUCGGGGAGAAACGAAACACUCUGUUACUCCUGACUUGAAGAAUUAAGCUAGGCACCCGGAAACAACAACUAAAUCCAAGAAUGGAAUAGAGCCAUACUCGCACUGCUAAUCCCUUGAAAUAGAGUAAUAACACCUUGAGACUUGAAAGCUGGGGCACUGCUAACCCCUUGAAUAGCGUAAUAACACCUUUACCUUGAGACUUGAAAGCUGGCACUGCUNNNNNNNNNNNNNNNNNNNNNNNNNNNNNNNNNNNNNNNNNNNNNNNNNNNNNNNNNNNNNNNNNNNNNNNNNNNNNNNNNNNNNNNNNNNNNNNNNNNNNNNNNNNNNNNNNNNNNNNNNNNNGUUGUUUGCUUGUUCCGUAGGCACCGGCUUGUUAUCGAAACUCACUUCUGGCUUUACCCAACGAAACUGCUUGUUGAAACAGAACUGCUUACUGCUAUUACCCCACCUAGCGGCGAUAGGAUUGAGCUCUUGGUAUAUAUGCAUUUAAUAAAUAAAGAGUUUCAAGAUUGAUAUUCAUAAUAAGGAGUGAUAGGAUUGAGCUCUUGGUAUAUAUGCACUUCUAAAGAAUAAAGAGUGAUAGGGAUGCUAUAUCAAAGAGUAAUGAAUUUAGGGAUGCUAUAUCAAAGAGUAAUGAAUUCAAUAAGCCCGCGGUUUAGUAAUAAGCUAACGCACCCAAACAAAUAAGCUUGUAACGUCUUGCAUAACUCACUAACGCUUACUGCUCUUCGGGCUCUAAAUAGACUAUUUCCGUUUAGAUUUCUUAUGAUAUCCCUAGCAGCUUUGCUUCCUUGUUUAACAAAGGCUUGUUCCGGCCCGGCGAACUGAACUCGUUUGUUGAUUAUGAAUUGAGUGUACCUAGGAAAUACGCACAGUAACACACAUUCGAAACUCCUAAACGGAAUGAUUGCCCUAGUAUACCAUAGUACUUAUCUUAGCACCGUUGCUUGUUGAAUGGAGUGCACCUACUCAGAGGUCUAUGUUAUGUUCUAAUUUCGUUUUACCUAGGAAGAGGUCUAUGUUAUGUUAUGUUAUUAGGCUUCAAUGCUUGUGGGGUCCGGGUCAAAGUGGGUGUUUUUAUGGAAAGGUUUUUCACAGGCUAUAAACAACGCAAAAAGAGCUUAUUUAUACAGCCUUAACCAAUACCGAGUUUCUUGUUGAAGAUAGUGCACACAACUUAUGUAAGACAGCAACCUCACUGCUUACUCCUGGCGUUGUUACCUUACAUUAAUCAAAUCAUCGUUUACAGCCGAACCCUAUACUAAGCACUUGCAGGCCCUAUACACAGAAGCACCGUUACUCUACUUAACUACUAAACAAACAGGCUCUUAGCACCUUGCUUUCAAUCUACCUUCAAGCUUGUUCCCGCAGCUUACUCACUUGCUUGUGUAAUUUAUUAACAAAACAAAACACUGGCCAAGAAACUAGAUGAGAGAGAAUCCAUUCUUUUAGGAGAGUCUGGAGCGAGUGGUUCAAUUCCUUAUUCUUGUUCAAUGUCUUUACGAUGAGAUUCCAAAAUGUCUGUGUUUGUUGGCGGUGAAGAAAGUCUUUAUUGUGUUCAGGGACAGAAGAAAGUACUAGUGCGCGAGCUAUGUUAGGUGACUUUCCAACUUGAACAGAACUACUUGCGGAGGCAGACGUUGGGAUUGGCGCUAGGAAAAAGAAUGGAAAGGAUGCUUUCGUGCUAGAAGGAGAGGAUAGGAAAGGAAAGGAAGGGCGCUAAGAAAGUCAGUACUCUUGUAGAUGCCGAUCAAUCUUAUUAUGCCAUGCCGGAAAGAGAGAAAGAAGCUUUGGGUUGGGGCGCGCUGGGCAAGCAAUACCUUUCUAUGGGUUAGGUGCGCGAGCAGUGUUUUCUUUUUCUGACUUUCCUUCCACCCCCCACCAAAACGGAAGUCUACAGUCUCGUAUCUCGCUGUUCCCCUACUAUAGGGCUCGAAGUCAAGUUCAAGUCUUCGGGAACGAGUAAGAGUGGUUUAAGUUCCAGUCUUAUAGUUAACAGUAGUUGCUCGUCUUUUGGUCCUGUGUUCAGCUACCUAAUUUAUAAUCUAUCGCGGUCAACUCCGUAAGCAGUGAAGUCUUUUCAUUUACUUUAGCUUGUUAACUUGUUCUCGCCUUAGUUAGUCUUCAGACGCCUUGUAAACCAGUCAAAUCCUACAUGGAACUUCAAGCUCCCUAAUAAGCGCCUUGUAAACUAGGUGUAAUAAAUCAAUAAUGGAAUGUUUACACCAUAGAAUCUCUUUUCUCUACUGGCCACGUAGCAGUAAUCAGAAUCAAAGGCUCAAAAAGAUGCAGUAUCCAGAGAAUCCGCAGUGCAAUGAGAGUAGAGUGAGGAAGGUUAACAAACAAGCUUAUGCGCUAACAGGAAUGUCACGGGAGUUUCAAUUGUCAUCUUAUAUGCUUGACGGAACCAGCAUUUGUCCUGCCUGAAGUACAUACAAGUUCCGUUCGCCCAGUUCGUUCGACUCUCAGGUCUAUGUUUAGGGAGUUAGUACGUUGCUUUUUGAGUGUAGUUACUGAAUCUCAUUCUUAUUGAAUAACUCCAUUUGGAAAGAAGAUUAUGACAGUACUGUACACAUUAUGUAUCAAAGUAACAACACUCCGAAAUGAAAGAUUCCACACAAGGGAUUCAACAGCAACUGUUCCUGCUCCCACUCCAGAGAAAGCUUCCGCGCUAAGAUCUCCUGGUCGACUCGGUGCUAACAGAGUUUCUGCUUAGGGAGCUCAAUCCCCUUUUGUUGAAUUCAAUGAUGACUUUCGAGGUUAGGAGUAUAUAGAAGAAACAGUCUCUGGGGUGAGUCACAAAUCUCUUACUCAGUUUCCAGAUCAGAAUAAGGAUCAUCUGGGCAGCAAUCUUUUCUUCAAGUCUAGUUUGAGCAAAGGUCUGUGAUGGAGGUGAGAGUGCUUGUGUCUAAGGCGGUUCUUGACCUUGCUUGUAUAUGAGAAUGUCCCGUUCCAGUUUCAUCUAUAAGAGGAUUUCCUCUGUUCCGUUAGCGCAACAUUAUACCAUUAUACUACUAAGUAAGCUUGUUCGGUAAGAAAGCGUAGAGAGAAGCUCGUUGAGCGUAGAAAUCGGUAAUCAUAGAAAAGAGAGGUUAAGCUGUGAAAAAGUAAGCUUAUGAAUUGCUAGUUCCAGUUCUUGUUUCAGAAUCAGAAUAAGUUCGAUAAGAUGCUACAUCAGGGAGAGGGUUAAUAAUAAGUACUGGCGAGGAAGAAGUUGAAACAGAAUCCACAGUGCUAAAGUAGAGUGAAAGGUAAACAAGCUAUGUAUUUACAAACACGCUGAUCAUUGGCUUUUCAUCGUACGUAUUAAGAAGCUGAGCUGGUCAUUAUUGAAUCAGAGGCUUAGCUCCCGAUGAUGAAGAUAGGUAAUAGCAAAUAGAGACUUUUGUUCGGAUGGAAGGAGACUCGUAUCUACUCGGUGUAGUCAACUAAUUCCAUUAGAUUCUUCUGUCCAUCCUUUUGUAGGGGAAGAACCCUUUUCGCCUAGGGGACUCCUUUUUGGCCUAUGAUAAACCAUUUCAUCUUGUAUAACUAUUGAUAGCUUGUAUAACUGCAUGCGGAAGGUAAGGCUAAGCACGCAAAGCAAAGGGAAGGGAAAGCCUAGCCAACUGAAUCAUGCACCUACUUACACUUGAUGUUCAGCUGACCCCUUAACUUAACUGACGCGGAUACGAAAACAGUACUUAUUCUGUGUCCUUAGCUGGCGAAAUUAGCACUCCCUUAUGGGAUUACUUUACUACUUUACGAGCUUCUAUAUACCCUGUCCCCUUCUCUUUAGCACUUGUUCUUGUUGGGCCUUGUCAAACAAUCAUUUAUUACUGCAUGAAUAUAAGAGAGGCAUUGAAAAGACGACUCCCUUCCCGUGAGCUCACUGAUGCACCCUCUCCUUACGCACUUCGAGCAGUGAGAUGACUUUACUUCAGCAGUAUAGCAUUCAAUUCUUCUUCCAGUAUAGAGUCUGAAGCGUAAGCCGGAGAAGAAUCCUUUCUGGUUUCCUAUGUGUCAGCAGCAAUAGAUUCUCAAAGGAGAGUUCUUGUUUCACUGACUUAAUAUAGAAUAAGUGGGUAUCCAAAGGGAUAGAUAGCUUUAAGAUCCAGAAGUGGGUAUCAAAAGAGAUAGGUAGCUUUAAGAUCCAAGUCGUCAACAUCUUGUCCCGCCUUGUACUGAGUUAGAGUUCCUUUUCUUUACGCGUAAGCCAUUAGCAUAGUCACACCUCUGCUCAACUUAGAGAAAUCCCUUAUCUCUAACGCGUUACCAGACACAAGACAGGUCAUAACUACUUCUAAAGAAAAGACUGGUCAUAACUACUUCUAAAGAAAAUCAAUAUUACUCCCGUGACUCGUUGGGUUUAGAGCCUGAACCUGGAUUAUUGCCUUCUUCAGCGCACAGUAUCGGUAUCUCCUAGCUUUCUUUUGGAGAGUAUUGUUUGUCUCCUUGGGUGGGAGGUGAAGUAUCUAAUUACCUGGAACCGGAAGGUGAGGAGAAGAAGAUAGUACUGCUGGCAAGGAAUGGUUCCGAUGUAGCUCAGACAAAGUCAAAGUAGUAGAGUAGAGUUCUAUAAGAGAGGUCCACAAGAUCAUCUACAGGAUCAUCAAAGUCUCUCGGUGUUGUGGGGGAGUCUAGAACAACUUAUGAUAGUCAUAAUAUUCCUCAACAUCAGUCCAUACACCUUUCCUAACAAUAUUGCCCGGCGCGCAGGGGAACAAUAAAAUAAGUUGUUCUUUUCUUUGAAGCUGUAGUUUGUUGGGCCAGUGCUCUGUAAACUAUAAUAAUAAGCUAGUCAAAAACUCAUCAAUAUAAGUUAGUUAAUUAGGAACCGAACCUCACCGCGGACUUUUCGCUUUAAGAAAGCCCCACUUCGUGUUAGGAGUUCGCAGUUCCGUUGCUUAGUCUUUUGCCAAUACAAAAUGCAAUUGAUAAUCAUCUGCACCUCUAACUAAUAUAUUAUAGAAUGGAGUCAAAACACUCCUGUCCUUAAAGCUGACUCCCCCAAAGCUGACAUUAGCUGUUGCUUAGUCUUACUAGUUACUAGCUCUUGCUCUGUUGCUUGUUUCACCUUUUUUAGGGAAUACCAUAUAUACCCACCCGGUGGUAAAUAAUGGAUUGUGAAUGGCUCACGGUAAAUGCAUGAUUUUGAAAGGCGAAAAGAAGUAAGAAAUCCAGAAUAGGAGUAGAGACUAUCCUUUAUUACAUAAGGGGGGAGCUUCUCGACGGAAAAGGGCCAAAGCGAAUAGGAUUGAACCCCUAAGGAUAGAAAGUCAUAUCGGAAUGCUUAAAGCGAUAGAGUCGUGAACUGAGUUACUAGUGGGCUGGGCAAGAGAAGCAAUAUCGGAAUGCUUAAAGCGAUAGAGUCGUGAACUGAGUUACUAGUGGGCAAGAGGCUUGCUCAUUUCUCCUUUGUUUUGGGUUUGCCUAUCUAGCUUCUUGUCCUACGCACUAUGAUUUUCAAAAGAAGGGCUAAACGGGGCGGAGAGAGAAAGCCCUCAAAAACGAUCUUUCAUAUUCCCCCAGAGAUCCUAGUAGAAAUACAAUCCUAUAAAGAAGUGGGUUUGUUUCAGGCUUAGAAAGCGGAAGCCUAUUGUGGGGUCUAUGGCGGUCUACUACUUAGUCUAGUCUAAGUUUCCCAUUCUUUUCUAUUAAAUGACAUUCGAUAUUGCCCACGUGAAAGCUAGGAACUAGAACCACCUCCAACGUUAGUGUUCUACCAUACCGCAUAAAGGUGAACAAUUUGUCUAUCAAAAGAAAGUGACGAUUAUCUGCAUGUCUAAUGUAAUAAAGAGUGUUAUUGGUCAUUUUAUCCCAGUGUAAUAGAAUUCGAAAAAGGCAUUUAUUACUUGUGUUGAGUGAUAUGGUGACACUGUCCUCUCCUUGCGUGGAUUCCAUUCCUUGAGAUCUAAUCCAGCUAUUCGAUAUAAAAAUGGGAAUCUUCCUUUGGAUAUACAAAAGGGAAUCUUCUGAUAAGUGAGUAUAAGUGAUCGAGAAGCAUUGGUGAAAUGAAUCAAUCGACUCUCCCUACUUAGAUACAUGUAAGAUCGAAAGGGCAGCUCAUGAAUAGAAGGAAGAUCACAUAGAAUGCUAGUGUUGAGGAAGAGACGGAUGUUAGCUCUCCUGGUAUUACUUAACUAAAGCACUAACACCAAUAACAGAAGCACUAACAAAGGUAAAGUUCUCUUCUUUCUGGUGCUUUCUUAGACUCAAAACCAUCGACCCUAAAGUCUCGUUAUCGUUGUAAGUGAAGGGAGUUCUCUUAGCAAGCUAGUGAUUUUCCCCUUCCUUCGUUAGGGCUUACACUCUUCUCUUUUUCAGCUUACAACGAUUGGUUAAUUAGGAUAGGGGUGGAAAUCAUUGAAGUCGAGUCGAAUAGUAGGGCGCCAAGCAGACUAGUAGGCAAGUAGACAAGCAGACAAGACACUCAAAGACAACUUCCAAAAUCCACUCAAUAUAACGACCAAGCAUCCACUUAGAAUCUUUAUCCUAUAGAAAUAGAAGAUCAAGAAUGAGACAAGCAACGACAAGUACUGUGUUCGGGAGAAGAAUUCUGGUAUCAAAUGUAAGAGUCAGAAGAACACCGGAAGGUAUCAAACGUUUGAAUCACACCGGAAGGUAUCAAACUUAAGAGUCAGAAGAACACCUGAACUACUAUAUCUGCUGAGCAUCAAACCUUAACUACUAUCUCUCCAGAACAGGAGCAGGAGCAGUACUACCGGUAGCAAGAGGUGUUAUCGACCCCAACUAACUAUCCUUUUUGAACCCCUCGUUGCUUGGCCCGCACUCCCACAAUAACUCCACUCUUUGGAUCACAUAAAGGUUCAGGCUUCCAAAAAUCACCCUUAUUUCGAAUACUUAGCGGGCUGUAAACUAUUCUUUUUAGUCGUUGAGCUGAGGCUAAACCACGCUAAUGGCUAAUUCCCUCUCUUGUCCACCGAAAUGCUAAACUAAUGCCUUUGCUUGCUUAAUAAGACUUGCCUCUUGAAAACCCUCUAACGCUUACUUUCUUCCUCCCCAAACUAUACUUGAAGUUUGAUUAACCGACAACACUACUGUAAACCAGUCUUUUAAACGACUCCUGCCAGCGCCCAAAGAGUUUAGUAUGCACGACACUUCAAUUGACUACUUUGAUCUUUAAAGCCACCUAUCUCCUCCACUUGAAGCCAUUAGAAUGUUGCUUGAUGCAGCCUCACGCUAGACUCUACCUGUACUUUACAUAUUGUCCGGCGCGAGAGAGUAAGUUGUAGCACUUUGGCUUUGACGAACUCAACUCAACAAGCAAUAGAAUCAACUCACUAGUCAAAGGGGCUAGGGAACAAACAUACAAGCAAGAAACAAGCGCGCUAGCGAGUUCCAAGCGUUAGUCCGGCUCCGCUUUCACUCUCCCGCUCCUUACUCUUAGUCUUGAGUGCCCUCCCGCUUUUGAAACCUAUCUAUCUUUGCUUGCGUUCCGUAGCUCCUGAUCCAGAUUCUUUGCUAUCAACCUCAAACUCAUUACUGUUAUACCUUAACUAAUGCCUUAGAUCCUGUCCUUGCUGCCUACGAGCCUACCUCUAAACCAGUACCGCUGCUUUCAUUCUCUUACCAUUCUUUAGUUACUGACUUUUCUUCUGACUUGUUUGUUUGAGCCUGUCACUCUUAAACUACCAGCUCUGGGCCUGCCUCCCCCUUAUCUAAUUAUGGUUUUAGUCCAAACUAUACUUUAUGGAAUUCUGUAUUGAUAGCUUUAGUCUGCUACUCCUCUUUCUAUUAGUCUGCUUUUCCUUCUUUUUGGAUUCUGUAGUUACCGAUCUGCUUUGCUUCUUAGACUUAGGCGACCUCUGCCUUUCUUUGAUUCCAACUUUACUGGGUUCUUCAAUUGCCGAUUCUAUUUGCUUAUAUUCAUUAUGAAAUUGCUUAUUGCCUUUCGAACAUAGGAAUAAGAACAAGAAAUAGGGGUUAGGCUUAGGAUCUAGGCAAGGAUAGCUAGUAUUGGAUGAUAACUCCAUUACAGAACUACUAGCUUUGAUUAUUACUACAACGACUAUUAGGCUAAAGGCAUUAGUGCCGUAGUAAAAGCAAGACUCAAUGUAGGUAGCGGGAGACUCCACCUAUAAGUAAAAGAUCUAGAUCCGGGGGGAGUAGCUACAGACUCAAAAGCAGCAGUUGGGUUCUUUAGUUGACCUCGUCCGCAGGGGUUGGUUUAUUUAUAUCAGAAUAAAGUCUUAGAAGCACUAGUGGUAGUUUUCCUCGGAUAGGUAAUGCAAGUCAAGAGUAAAGCCCUAGAAGCUGUAGCGGGAUUCUUUAAUGAGUAAAUAAAGAGACUUUAUAAGCAUUUAUAGAAUUCAAGUAAACAGUACGUCCUCUAUUGCCAAUAAGAGGAAUGAAUGCUAAGGGAGGCUAUAAUACAUGAAAGUCAUACUUUUAGGCGGGAAAGGCAUACUCGAACAUUGGUAUUGAGACCGGGAUGGGAAUACUCAAACUCGGCAUUGAAGGUAAGGUAGGUAGGGCAGGCUUAGAAGCUGUAUCGGCAGCCCUAGUUGUACAAUCAAAGACAGGGGAUAGAAGCUCGUGGGCUGUAAUGCAAUCCUUUAUAUGGGGUUUUUCGUAUUGGAGGUAGUAGUUGCUGCCUUAUCCGUAGGAGUUCCAGCCUUGUAAGCCUCCGGGUCAGUGUAUUAUGCCCACAUUCCAAAUUCUGAGAGGCAGGGUUUAGCGGUGGUUUCGUUCUUGUACACUGGCGUUUGAUCCCAAUUAGGCCCUAUCUCAGUUAAGCUUGAGUACUUGUUUACUUGUCUCUCAUAUCCUAUAGCAACUUCUCUUUAUUCGAUUAAUAAACUAGAGACUUUCUAUUAAUAAACAAGAGACUUUAUCUUUAUUCUAUCAGUGGGUGCACUAGACCAUGCCAUACCUAUUACAUUGGCUCCAAACUGGAAUACCUAUUCUCAUUCUAUUGACUAGCGCUUUACAUACCUAGGCGAUUGACUCUAACUCUCAUUAUGAUUUGUCAUAUCAAACAUAUAUCUUUAAUUGCGACACUCAAACUAUUCCCUUACUGACCCAAGGAAUAUUCCCUAACUGUUGAUUCCAUUCUUGAACUUAUAGAUUGGAUUCCAUGUUUUUGUACUCAAUUCUUCUACUGUGGAGUUUGAUUCCACUGAUGACGUUUCGGUCCAGUAGGGUACCAAGUCAAUCUUACUUAAUGGAUAGGAUUCGCCUACUAGGGACAAAAGCCUUAAUAACAGCGGUUCCAUUCUUUUACGCCCGGGUUCGAUCCCCAGUUUUGAGUGUGAGUUUGGUUCAGUGUCUCAAUUCUGUAGUUUGUGUGAAGAGGUGAAGCCAGUAGCUGAUGAGUUCAAUCCUGUUGUUUCGGCUUUGGCUCUUGCUUUCCUAUUUCAUCCAAUAGAUCAUGUCAUAGACCUACUCGAGCUUCUAAUGCAUUUUCUGCCUAUCCAAUAGUUAUGCCAAUAGGCAGUUAGAGACAAGUCCAAAUACAAGGUUUCAAGCAAGGGAGGUUAUCCUUAAAAGAAAAGAAGUGGAGCAAGCCUUGAGCUGUAGGUAAGGUUCUAGUUCAGUAGGGGAAGUUCUCAGGUAAGUAGCGGAGUCCUAAAAGUAAGGAUAUAAUACCAACCUCAAGAAUGGAAGGCAGGAUCGAUUAUUGUUAUCCGCAGUUAGAGUUUCCGUUUUUACUAUAGUCGUCCAACCUAUUAGCAUAGUAUAUAAGCUUGAAACCAAUAGGCAAGGCUUAGAGACAGGAAGAGCGGACUCGGAGAAUAGAUAGUAAGGCUUAGCUAACGGAGAGGCGAGCUAACAAACAAGACUCUAGGGGGUAAGUCAAAGAAUGAAAAACUCACAAGCAAUACUUUAAGGCAGGAAAGGCAUACUACCAAAAAUCCAAUAAAGAGGUCAAGUCAAGGGGGACAGCCUUGGGAGCGCUCGUUCCAUUCUAUUUAGUCUAAGGGAUCGGACUUUUCUGAAAGAGAGGUAGCCUUAGAGACGGGGAAGGCAUAGCGCAAGGUAUGAGUUACAGACCAAUAGAAGGUAAAGACAGACUCGUAGACAAGAAGGUCGGGCUUUGACUUGAAAGUUCAUUCCGUACAUCCUGUUUUUGUCUUUGACUCCUUAUUCCUAGGUGUGAGUUAAGGUCCUGUUCCAUCAUAUAUAGUAGUCAAUCCUAUAUUAUAAGAUAUAGUAUUGGAACCACUAGCUUAAGCCUGAUGGUAACAGUAGUCGGAAGCUAGCAAGCAAGGAUACAAAUAAGCAGUUCAGAGUGAAAACAAGUCAAGUCAGACUUCUAAUAAGGAAAGGUAGCUUUGAAGUAAGUAGCAGCAGCCUCAUCAGUAGUACGAAGGAUGAAAAGCACGAGUUAUAGUUUGAACCUUGUAGUGGAACUAAUUAACAUACUCCUGUUGGUAACUACACUCAUUGUCCAACAAGCUACCCCCUUAGAGUCAAGGGGGGCAGGCUACGAAGUUCAAUACAGAUUGGAGAUCGGGAGCUACAGGCCAAUAGGGAAACAAGGGUUUUAAGUCAGUAAGGACAGGCUCGGGUUAGAGCAUAAGUCUUUGUGAUAUAAGUCUUUGUCGUGUAUUGGGUUCAUUCCCUCCAUAGCGUCGAUUUGAUUCUACUAGUUGGUAUUUGGAGUCUGCUUGUCUGUAGCCCUAUAUUGUAGGUUCGAGCCGUUAGUCAGUGGGUUUAUUCUAUACUAUAAGUAAAAGGAGUGAAAGGCAUGGGUGAAAGAAUGAGAAACUCUAUUUGAAGAGCGAAAGCCAAAAAGUAGAGGUUUUCGUUUAGGGUGAGAGUAUUGUUUUCACUUGUUCUAUAUGUUAGGGUGCCUCUUCUCUUCCUUUUUUUGAUAGUAUAGGGUUAGGUUCCAUAAUGCUAUUUGAUAUUUAAGGUGCCUAUGGCUAUAGGUCAAUCGAGUAAACAAGAAGGUUGAGACCUGUUUCUCUAUUAGAUAUAUAGGUAGGUAGUAGAUAUAAGUACUAAUGUGUUGGGGACGAUUGCAAAGUCAAUAAGAUGGUUUCUUGAGAGUAGGUGUGCAGGGAUCGAAUAUAGUGGAUGUUGGGUCCGAUUGGUAUAGUUUAGGGUUUAGGCGCCGAUAUGCUCUUAUGUGGAUGAGUCAAGUCCGGUACAGGAUGCCGGUCAAUAAUACUGCUGAUAUAUGGGGUGCCUCAACAAUUCUUCUAAAGAGUCGUUUUCGUUUCUAAAGAGUAGUGGUUGUUUUGUUCGGUGUUUGCAUUAAACAGCUAUUGACUCUUCACUUCAAGUUGGAUUGAUUUCAGAAUGGAGUAGAUAUCCCCAUCCUCCUAAUCAAUUAAUAUACUCAUAGGCUCUCUACGUUUGUCUUUCCUACGAGUAGCUCCGUUCCGUUUCUUUCAUAGAAUAGACAUAACGACCUAGGGGCAGUAAAGCAAGCCUUCUUUGUUCGUGCUAGGCUCGCACUACUGGGAACCUAUUAAGAAUUCAUAAAGAAGCGCAAAACCUCUAUCCUCGUCAGGGCAUGCAUUGAGUAUUAACAGGGCGAAGGGAUAUUGACGGGACUUACCUUUCAAACAGGCAUAUCUAAACUGACCUUUCAAACAAGGCGUAUCUAAUCAGUAUAGUAUCAUGGGAGAGUAGAGUGGUAGGGUCGGAACUGAGAGAAAGCUAUAUUUUGCAAUUGAUCGUUACCAAUAGCAACUUGAACUAAGUCCUCUGGUGAAUGAUCGAUGUGUGCCAGAUUGAAACCACCUUCUUUAUCAUUGGAAGAAGACCGCUUCGUAAAGCUAGGGCUGGAUACCUGAAUUGGAUCUUGAAUGCCCCGGUUAGGGCGCCUUGUGCGUGUGCUCUUAAUCGUUGGGCCUAGCUUAGCUCCAUUACUCAUUCUAGCUCUAGCCUCAUUGGGGAACAGGUCUGGCAAAAGGAGAAAGAACUAAGGCACACCCCAAACCGAAAUGCUCCUUACUUAUCUUAUAUUAUAGUUAUAGUAUGAUGUACGAUCAUAAGUUCCCAGAUUUCUCAUAAUAGGAAAGGAAGGGCUUUGGACUAUUAUGGUUUGAGAUUGAACUUCUCAUUCAAUGGGGAUCCAACUAAACCCCCAGGAAGGGAAGUGCCAAAGAAGAGGACUUCACCUAUCCUCCACCAAAGGCUAUAGGAGAAGGUACCUACCUUUUACUGAGGAUCCAAUUUCUUCUCGCUAACGCCCUUGUUGCCAUGCCCUCUAUCUCUCUCUUUGCUUUGGAUCGAGAAGGGUUGGCUCUGCCUCAGAUCUAUUCAGCUUCGACCAGACGACUACCGCUAAGUGAUGAAGUUUGUUUAGUGCGGAAUCUGGCAUACAGUUACCAAUCAAGUAGAAGUCAAUAGGCUCACUCAUAAAGCCCCCCGCUAGUAAGACAAGAAAACGCUUCGCUUGGUUGUCAUGUCAGGGCACUCUGGUAGGACGUGGCGUGGAGAAUUACCUGCAUUACGAGAAUGGGCUUCUCUUUUAAUGUAAUAGAAGAGUCACGGUCAAGUGAGCCCGGCUUUCUCCCUAAUCGACCUUACUCAGGGGAGUUGCAUUCAGUUAGGUAUAGGCUUUUUGACCUUGUGUUCUAUACUGGUAAGAGGCUAAUACUGGCAAAGAGUUAAGCAUUAACGUGUUUUGGGGUAUUAAUAGAAAAGAAGGCGCCCAACAAGGAGUAUGGACUUGGAUGCUUGCUGGGGAGAUCUAGAGAGAGUUCUAUAUCAACAUAGAAAUCCAAAGUAGUUCUCAGUUCUAUAUCAAAUAGAAGUUAUAAGUUCAAUAUCCAAUUAUUAUAAGUGUAAAUAUCAAAUUAAGGAAGAGUACGCACGGCUGACGCUGUUAGUUGAUCGAAUCAGAUACAGAUAGCUCUGGCUACCCCAAUUCUGAUCCACAUGAGGUAUGGCUCUGAGCGGAGUGGCUGAAGGCAUAGGUUUGCGAAAUCGACAUCAAAUAAGAUUGUAUAAUGGAUCCCUACGGAGGCGGGCGAAAUAACAUGAAAGAACAAACCUAUUCUUGGUAGAGUUCCCUGAGGACGUACAUAAGAGCACUAACCACUUUUGAGUGAAACUAGAAGCUUGUGCGCUUUAUUUGAUUGACCGGCCUGCCCAUCUUAUUUAUAGUAGCAUACCCCUAAGUAUCAUUUGUAUAGGAACGAAAGCAACACUUUGACUUUUGAAAGUAAUGGGCUACGCUUAUCCCUGACUAGUCAAGUAGUGGUAAGGUAGGUGCUGGUGCUGUGCUCUUCGAUGAAGAAAAUCUACAAUAUAUUAUAUACAAAUACAAAUAUACAAAUACUACAGAAAAUAUACAUACAUAUUAAUAGGUGAUUCAAUAGGUGAUUAAGGUAUCUAAACCAGAGCAGAGCAAAGUAUUCUCCGUUUUCUUGUGUCAGUGGUUAGAAAUCGAAAUUAGUGAACACGUCGCCUACUUUCUUUAAAAGGAAGCAAUUCUUCUUACCUAUAACCAAUAAGCCUUAUUACCUCUGUUUGUAAAAAUGGGGUUAUGGUUAUAGAAACCAUAGACUUAUCCAUUUGUAGAUGAACCUCCUUGUCGUAUUUAUUACCUCCUUGUCGUAUUUAUUACCUCGCCCGAAAAUCAUUGAAAAAUAUAGGCAUCCGGAAUACCGCUUAUCGACUGAAUCGCAUAUGGGCAAAUCGACGAGGAAUCACAGUAAAGCGCCCUAGUACCAUCACUCCCUUGCCGGAACAUUAGAAGACCAGUAAGACGUGGGUCCGCUCCUAAUCUUGAAUGGCCUCAUCAAUGACUGAAACACAGUAAUGAGUCACCUACUCUUUAUUUAGACAAGAAAGACGGCGGACAUUGAUGGCUCUAAGUCGGAUGGCCCCACUGGAGAGUGAGCGAAACGAAAAAGCAGUGCACACGCAAAAAACAUCAUUAUGGGCUUGCUUUACCUACCCUUUACUCAUCAUUCCGUUUUGGAAUCUACAAAGAUGAUGAAAUGAUUGGAUUAUUUCCGUCUUCUUGCUUGCUCUGUCUGAUACUAUGUAUGUGAAACCAGAAGAUAGUAGUUCCCCUGCGACGACAGGAAUCUCGUCCCUUCUACUCUUUGUUUAUGGUCCCCCAAAAGCAAAAGGAAAGAUUCUUCAUGAAAAUAGAAACCACCUAUGAGACGAUCCCUAGUCUAUUUCAUACAUUAUGCCUAGGUCAAAGGUAUGCCUGCUUUCUUUCUACCUAUGGGUCAAAGGUAUGCCUGCUUUCUACUUUCCACCUAGUUAAAUUCGAAGAGAGUCUAUCCACCCUAAGAUCAGAAAAGAGCCUAUUUCUCUUUUGUUUGAUUUAUGAGAAUCAGAGACAGGGUUCGAAUUCCUGUUGAGAAUGAAAUCAUGAAACUAAAUGAGAAACCUCUGAAAAAGACUUGUUUGUAUGGAGCUUGCAUACUCCCUGCGCGCGAUCGUAUACUUGAACCCUCGCUUUUGUUGGUGGUUCAGCGAUAGAUGGUAGUUUGCCUUAAUGAUGGAUAGCCUUGCCAAGGAUUCGAUUUCUUUAUCUUUUCAAAUAGAGAAGAGAUCGCAUUACGAUAGGACUGACUGCUGGCUUAGUAGUUCUUUCCCCGGGUACCAUGACAGUGCGAGCACCUUUUCCGAAAACCCAUUUAAGGAAGGGCAGGAUAGAGCAGUUUUCGGACUCAAAGUGUAUAUGGAUAGAACCUUGUCCAGAUUUCCUACUUUACAUCUCUGCAAAGAGAAAUCAAUUCAAUAAAAACAUGACCCAUAGCUACGAAAUGAAUCCAAUUAGGUCCCUUAAGAGAGAACUCAAUCUCAUGCAUCGAUGUAUUCCUUCUAGAACUAUAGUCGCCUGUCUUUUGAGUUCAGGGAGAUGGGCAUGUCUUCUUCGAAAAGGAGGUCGUGGUCAACGAUCAAAAGUGGCUUUGACUACACGAAUGGGAUAAGCAAGAAGAAUGGAAUGCUGUAAUACUGUCUUCUUUGGUUCUAAGAAAGAUAUUCAAAGACUCUCUACCCUACCGCCUGCCGACGAUGGACCUCAAUCACCAUCAUAGUAGGGCAAAGCUUGUAAACAAACACAGAUUUAGACCUUUCCUUUAGUGGAGAACCUAUUGAUGGAGACAUCGCAACAAUCAUCUUACAUUCAAUCUCAGAGAUGAUAGUGCGGACUUAUGAUGGGCAAAAGACUAAGAUCUAGAAAUAAUGAUAGGGCCGGGCCGCACCCUCUCGCCUUUUAGUUACUUUUACCGAAAUACGAGACUGACUCCUAAAUUCAGUCGUUCCUCACUAAAUAUAAGAUUUUGGAAAGAGUCAAACAGUCCCGUCCCUUUGGACUCGAAUUAGUUGUAUAUCAAAUGAGAUUGUAUAGACCCGCCAGCAAUCCAAAUUCUAUCUCAAUAUUAGCGCAAUGGUUCUUAUCCAUGGUUUGGCCAGAGCCCCACCUUUGUCUUUCUUGUUUGGGUGAGGAAAAAGCGGAUACAUAAGCAUCAGGCGAUAGUCAAAAGAGAAGGUUGUCUUUCACAGGACAUUCCAUUCAGUUAUCUAUAGCGGUGCCUAGCUUAUUUGUUGGAUAAUGCUUCUUCCUGCUUGAAAGCCCUUCAUGACUAGGUAGAGGGGAUUAAUCUAAAUAGAAACAAAUAUCAAUCUGGGAACGAUAGGAUCAAUCAAUGCAAUUGAAUUGAGGCGAGUGAAGCUAUAGGAAGGCAGUAGCAGACCAGACCCGAUUGGGAGGGAGUCUUUGCGUACGAUAGGUGGUAUAGGGUUUUUGGAAUGGAGUUCAAACGGAAAUGGCUCGAUUGAUUUGCUUACAGGAAAAAGACUAGUUUCAGAAAUCCAAUAAUUGGAACAAAUUGAGUGACAACGCAACGGACACCUUUCUUUCUCACUCAAAAGCUCAUCGUUUACCAACGAGUAUUGAGAGUAUAUACUCUUACAAAGACAGACCUGUGAUCCACUUUCGAUCUAAAGCACCCGAAUUCUACUCGCUUAUUUUAUUACUUUGAUAUGCGUUCAAUAUUCGAUUUUAUGGAAUGGAAUUAAGCUUCACUGCUCCUAUCCAUGCUUUCGAAUUCCUUUAUUACCGACCCAUCCUGGCUAUUUCUCCUAUUUGAGAUAUAACCCAUCCUGGCUAUUUCUCCUAUUUUAGAUAUAAUUAGAAUAAUGUCUUUGUUAACUUAUUAGUAUAGUCCACUCUUACCUUAGAUCAAAGAAAGUCAGACUGAGUAUUUUUCUAUACGAGACGUCGAUAAAUCCUUUGUAUAUGAAAUUAUUGUGAAUGGAAAGCGCAUACAUCGAGUAAAGAAAGACGGAAGAAUGGGGGAAAAUAGAGUACCACUACUGACUAAAGGAUUAUGAAACUCAAGAAAAAGAACCCUAAAAACAAGGGGGAACUGUCAUAAUUCAUACAAGUAACUAGCUAACGCCUGAGAUAGAGACCCCGUCUGUGACUCGUGAGAUAGACCACCCCGUCUGUGACUCGACUUCUUUUAGUAGUGUGCUCCAACUUACCCUUAUACUUCGCUCGGUUCGGUGCUUAGAAAACUCCAAUAACAUACCAAUAACAUCAAGGGUAAGCGUUAGCUUACCUUUUCUCUUCUCUUAGGGAGCGCUAGGGCAAUAAGCUAUGUUGUUUAGGUCACUUUCAUAUAUUAAUAAUGAGUGAAGUUAGUAAUUGUCGUUAAGAUUCAUUUCUUUCAAGUUGAGUGCACCUUUUGCCUAUAUGAGUGAUUAAAGGAAAAAUACAGGAGUUAUGAAAAUCAAGAGAAGAGUAUAGUAUGCUCCGCUCCGUUUUAGAAGCAGAAUAAGCGUGAUCGCGGACAGGAGAAGGGGUUAACUGACUCUGUGACUAUAACCUUAUUGAAUGGAAUCGAAACUUGUCGAGCUUCACUUGCUACCGAGAUACCAGCUAUAUACUUGCUACCGAGAUACCAGCUAUAGCUAUAUAGUCGUGGAAUUCAGAAGUUUGGAGGACGAGUAGGGUCGGUCAAAUAGGAAUUCAAUAUCAAUCAGUCAACCUGCAAUUAAGGGCAUAUCAUGAAUUCCAGAAUAUAUAUGGCAUAUCAUGGAAUAUAGUAACAAAACACUAUAAACUCACUUACUCUGUAGUUUCCAAUCCUUUUUUUCCCUGACAUAACACAUAUGUUCUAAUUGCAUAACUGGACUGUUUACUCCAACCAAUAAGCGUUAGAGCACCCCAAGAUAGAGAAUGAUAGAUUAGUUAGCGAGCGGCGAACUCACAUUGCGCUUACGGAGCACUUGUUCAUUCUAUUGUUUGUUCUUUUCUUCUGAGACUUAUGUCAGUUAUUAGAGUUUGGGCCAGUAUGUAAAGUUCACCUUUCAUUUCAUCUAUCUAGCCAUAUGAUCUUGAAUAGCUAAUCCAUCUUGUGCAUCAUCUCUAGCCUAUAAGGGAGUAAGAUGACCUCUUUAUAUACUCAAUGAGAAGCAUUCGCCAACCACUAAUUAGCUCCUAGCGCACACAACAAAAAGAAUGAACUAACGACCACAUGAUACGAAAACGUCACUCAUGUUUGUAACUAAUGCAGAUUCUAUCGUCGCAAAGACAGAUCAGAUGAAACUCCACCUUUCCCGCUUGCUGCUUCUGAUCUUGAUUCUGAUCCUGUAGUAGUUAAGGAUACGGCUGCCAAUAACAUAUUAUUCCCUUAAUAAAGCAGCAGGGGGCAGAAGCUUCUUUUUCUUCGUAGGGGUUUACAGACACAGCCGAUUCCCUAAUUGCCCCAUGCUAUACUCAAUGAGACUCUAUUCUUUCUACUGUUCCUUUUCCUUUAUACCUAACAGCCAGCUUAUUAGAUACAGACAGCACUGCCAGCUUAUUAUCGGCUUCAACUGAAAGUCAUUAUUAAGCUUCUUCCCAUUUCUGUAGGAUCAAAGUCGACAACACAAGAUUCAAGUCGCUAACUCUUUUCGGCAGUUUAGAAUUCCAUGAAACAAUUCCAUUCUUUAUCGGGGAAAUAACCAACAAUGAAAUUAUGUAUUUGGAGGCACCGGAUAUAGGCAUGAGUAAAGACACUGAACGCACAGGGACAAGCACUUCUGGACCAAUACUGGAAUCUGGAACUACACUUUCCACUGCUUCUUCAAAUGGUGUUGGAGUGGAGUAUAUCAAUUAGUAAUAUGAAAAGGAUCUAUACCCAGGCUCGCUAACAGAGCUGUUUCUUCUCAAGUCGACAACACUAAUUGACUUUGCGCUUACAGCUUCCUUUAGUACUGCUUAUUCUCCCCCACUCUUGCUUCUGCCUUUGUCCUAACCCUAUUUGGAUAGUGAAAUAAGGGUUCUUUGAUAGUGAAAGUAAGCGUUCAGCUGCCUCUGCUCUAUAUGAGUAGGUGUGUGACCUCUGUUCUAUAUGAGUAUAGUGUAUCAAACUCGUCAACUUCAUAGCUUACACUGCUUAAAGAAAUGAAUCUGUAACUUAGAAGGGGAACUCACACAUCAAUCUCUGACUCUCGGAUCCAGCUGGGUUAGUCCGAUAAUUUGUGUCGAACCUUGCUUGGGCUGGCUUGGCUCUAAGAAGAAGAUAUAGUAGAUGAAAGAGGCUCCACGCUAUAACAGUGAAAAGAUUUAGCAGGUUAAGAACUUCAAGUUUAGAAUAGGUCGGCUCAAAGGCAAGUAAGGGAUCCACCAACCAAGGUAAGAAGCAUAAGCUAGAUAAGAUUAUGUAUAAAGUGGAGUUUACUUUAGAUAAUGUCAGAAUUUCCGUUUAUAGCUUAGUCUAUAAUUCAGUGACAGGGAGUACAUUCCUUCCCUACCCGGAGACAUAGUCCGCAAGUGGUUUAAGUGCUUGUGUCUAAGGCUUCUUUAAGUAGAGUUCUAGACUAAAGUAGAGUAGAGUUCCAGUUCUCAAGUAGUCUACGAGAGAAUCAGCAAUUACUGGCUUUGAAGAAGAAGCUUUAUCAAAAUCAGAAGCAGUUUCAAGAGAAGUAGCAGAAUAUCUUACUGGCUACGCAGGGUGUUGGGCAUCAUAUCUUACUGACUUUUCAAGUUGAAGCUAGGUGUGGUCCACGUCGUCGAUUGAAGCACGGUGACACUGAAUACGAGUUAUUAAGUUCCAGAAGAGAGAGACGCCGCUCCACUCUUUUUGGUAGUGUUCCAUCCUUGUUAGCAGUGGUUUCCUUCUUUGUUUGACCUUAGACUCCUUUCUUCGAUUCUGACUUUGGAGCUUACGGACUGACGCUACACUCUUUUGGUUUGAUUCUUUGUUUCUACCUUGAUUCUUAUACCUAUGAGCUCGAUUCUACGCCUAUGGGAAAAGAAAGGCUAUCCGCCAGCACUCGCCCAUUAUGGGACUGUUGAGUUGGACUCCCUAUGGUUGGACUACCCUUUUGUAUUCCUAUUAGUCUCAUGCGCUAGUAGCUCGGACCCGACCCUUAUUCUUAUCCCCAUGGUCGAAAGACGGCAAUUGAAUAAGUAGAGGCGAGAAGUCAGCCUAAAAGCGAGGGCUGCUUUAGAUGCCUGAGAUUCCAUAAUAUAAGUUGGAAGGGAAAGUCAGUAAGUUACAGUUCCAAAGUUCUCCUGUUCCUGUUCGAGUUAUAGUGUUUUCUUAUAAGGAAUACAGUAACCAAGGAGAUAUAAAGGAAGUAGGUAACACCAAAGUGAGUUGAACCAAUUCCAAAUUCUAAAGAGAAUCACCAAAACUCGAGAAACCGAAUUCAUGCCUUGUUUUUUGUUUGUUGCUAUACACUUAACACUAAGCAACUCCACGCCAAAAAGGUCUCGAUCAAGGGCCUUCCGCCUUCUCGUGCCACAGCUCUAAUCCGAAUGGCUUCAACUAUGAACGCAAUUUCCAGUUCGAGCAAGAGCCGUUUGUUUUUCGAGAAAAUCCAGAAACUAGAAAACGGAUCGUCGUUAAGUCCGGCUUGCAGAACCGUCUUUCGGAUAACUAUAAGUGUGAGUCGGUUAGCUCCUUUUUCUGUUGCUGUAGUUGGUCGAUAAACACUCCUAUAUUUCGUAAUGAAAGACUUAAUUCAGUGAGCUUGGUACCGCCUGUUCAAGGGGUUGGAGGAGAUCAAACCCAAGAGAGGCCCGAGCACAACGUCUUCAUGAGUUAAGUGUUCCCACCUUGGGAGCUGAGAGUCAGGCCUGCAUUAGUGGAAUAUCCUUUACAGCCUUCCUUUAUCCGACCAGACAACUAUUCUAGUUCCACUUUUGAUACCGGGCAGAGCAGCUAAAGUGGCUUCAGCCUCUUUCUUUUGGCAGUUGCUUGCGAAGAAUUUGGGUAUUACUUAUCCUAGCUCAGAUAGAGCACUUGAGAGAGAAUUCGAAUAGUAGGGUUUGGAUCGUAAGCACAAUGGACUCGCUGCCUUAUCUGUCAUAUAGGAAUAUCGAUAGCGAGCAGUACCCAUCGGUUGCAGCUAUAAUCGUUUGCAGCUAGUACCCAUCGUUUGCAGCUAUAAGUAUAGAGCUCGUUCUUUUCUUACUUACCCGACGGUCGGAACUUUCAAAGGAUUCUCCCCAUCUAAAGAGCACUUCGUUCCUAAUAAAUGCAGACGGAAAGGUAGGACGGACCAGUGGAAGACUUAUGUCGAGAAGAACGUAGUGGCUUGUUGGCACAGAUGCCUUAAUUGAUCUUGUUGGCACAGAUGCCUUAAUGGAGAAUUGCAUCCAUCCAAUUAUGCACUUAAGAGAUUGACAGUCCUCCGCUCAGGCAAAGAAAAAACCGAAUCUUAUUAUACUUAUAUUGGAUCCAAAUUGAGAAUAGAACCUAAAGGUUGGUGGAUCAUGGUUCUACUAAGCGCCCUUCACCCCUGGUCCUUCUCAUAUGUCUUAUACUGGAAUGGCAUUUUUCUUAGGGUAAGUUCUUUGUCAAUAAAUUGGAUGCCCUAAGACGUAAUCAAGCCUUGCCUUUUCUUUUUGUUCUCGAUCUCUUCUCUUUAGAACUUAUAAAUAGCACGUAAGCAUGACAAAGGAUGGGAGCGGUGAUUGACCAGAAACAUUCUGUAAAAACAGAAAAGAGUAUCUUGCUGGAAUGGAUUUCAAAGAGCAAUCGUAAGGCCCACCAAUCUAACGCCGACAAGUGGUAAGACUAUCCCUCGUAAGACCGACAUUCCUCAUUCACUUCGAGGUGUGGCGCUAACUAGGCAUUCAACGAAAACGGAAUUAGUGCUUAACUGAAACUCCCCG